AAUAUCCCUUGCUGCUGAAAAAACUUCAUCUAAGUCCUCCAACUCCAAAACUUCAAAGAAUGGGCAACUAGGUGAUAAUAGAGAAGUAGCCCAUCCAGAUUCUCCACCAGCAGGUUCAGCACCAUGAUUCCCAACCUGCCACCUAUCCUGGUUUCUGUUGGGUUCCUAUCCUAUUGGGCGUAACCCGUUUAAGUAUAAUAAGCCCAUUUAGGUCUUCUGAGUUGUGGUUUCCUGAACUUCUAUGUAUAUGGUCUCUUCCUUCUCCUUGAGAACUAUGUGAAAUAUUAAGAGAACUAUGUGAAAUAUUGAAUAUUUAAGUUUUAUCUUCUUUUCCCAUUUUCUCUGUAAUUUUCCCUCUUUCUUCUCUAACGAGAAUGUGUCAUGCAUAGACAGCUAGUCAGCUACGAGUACGGUAAUAUAAUACGAUUCAAUUAUUAGUUAAAUACAAUGAUUAUCGUUGAAACUCAAAAUUUCAGGACAAGGGAGUCGCAUGGAUUCAGAUAUAAAAAUUAUAUAUAUAUAUAUAUAUAUAUAUAUAUAUAUAUAUAUAUAUAUAUAUAUAUAUAUAUAUAUAGGGAAUUGUUAUUGGCACUUCAAAAAUCUCAUUCUACACUCCAAAUUUUCUAUGUUUGGAAAGAAAAAAACAUUUGUGAGGUGUGUAGAAUUAGAUUUUUGGAGUGACAAUAACAAUUCCCUAUAUAUAUAUAAAUUAUUAUUGAAUAUUACCCAAGGAUGAAAUAUGUGAUGUUUAUUAACUAAUGAAAUGUGCUUGAAAACUUUGAGUUUUAAUGAUAAGGACAAAAUAAAGGGUAAAGUGAAUAGUACCAGGAUUGACUUUUUAAUGUAAAAAUGUAGUUUUUCGUUAAAAUGAACAGUACCAGGAACUUUUCGUUAAAGUUCCCUUAUUAAUAAGCAUUUUAGGAAUAUCUCUGACUAUGUUUAUUAACAAUUCCCUAUUAUUGAAUAUUAUUGAAUAUAACCUUUUUCAUCCUUGGGUAAUAUUCAAUAAUAAUUUAUAUAUAUAAUAUUAUAAUAAUUUAUAUAUAUAUAUAUAUAUAUAUAUAUAUAUAUAUAUAUAUAUAUAUAUAUAUAUAGGGAAUUGUUAUUGUCACUCCAAAAAUCUAAUUCAGGGACGUCGUCGUUCUGUAAAUUAUUAAACCAUUCAAAUAUGCGAUGUUUAUUAAUAAGCAUUUUAGGAAUAUCUCUGACUAUGUUUUUAGAUUAACAUGCGCUUAGCAACAGAAAAUUGUCAUGGAGAAGCGGUUGCCCAAACUUAAGGCUGCAAUUUUGAGUGCUCAGAAGUGCUUGGAAGAUUGCAACUAUGUUAGGGGAUUGGUGAGUGACCAUCAUACGCGGAGUUGUUCUGCAUUUUUUAGUUGUACAGUAGUUGUAUAGACAGUCCAUUUUUCUACGUUAGCAGUACAAUUUCUUUUUGUUUUCAUCUUGUUUUUCCUCUCUUUAAUUGUCUGAACUGCAAUACGUUUCUGCAGCUUGAUGAAUGGUGGGACUCCCACCCACCAUAACCGUUGCUCAUCCCUAGAUAGGAGCAACCAGCAACAAUUGUUGUUGACUGGGUCUGAGUCGAUGGAUUAAAUGUUGCUGCCUGGCAUGAUCAUGUGAAGCAGCUCCUUGAAUUUUAUGAUCAGGAGCACUUGUGAGUAUUAUUCGAGUACUCAGCAAACAAGAUUUUAUGGGGAUCUAACUGGUCUUCCUGUUGGCAGUCCCACAUUGAUGGGGGAAGUCAACAAGGGUGGCUAUAAAUAUGAUUACGCUACUCUAACUAAUACCAAGGUUUUUUUUGGUAAAACCCCACACUUGACGGAUUGGGCAGGUGAUAAAGUUGGGGACUGUAUCGGUCUUAUUAGAGUGGCCAGUUGGGGACUCUAUAGGUCUUGUUAGAGUGGUCCCUGGGUCCGUCGAUCUCUACGAAGCCCCUUGUUUCAUUCAUUCUCGCAUUGCUAAAAACACAUUUUCAUUCAUUCUCGCAUCGUUAAAAACACCUACAAAGGCUUGGUAGAAACUCAAGCUCGACUUUAUGCUUGGAAGGUGAAUUCAUUAUCUCUGGCUGGUCGCGCCACUUUUGUUCAGUCUAUGACCUCCGCUGUCCAGUAUAUGCUUUGCAGACAAUAUUACCAAUUACCAUUACAGAUAACCCCGAGUGUCAAAGAUUUUCCCAAGGCAAGAGAAGUUUGGCAAAAGUUGGAAAGUAUAACCAAUAGUCAGACCACAUUAAUUUUCAUGAUUGGCUUCAUUUUAAUUUCACCACUAAAUCACUCAUAUUGGGGGGUUUAGAGUAGAUGUUAGUAUUUUCUGUUGCUUGUUGGUUUAUUUGGUAUUGGCGAAAUACAUUUAUUUUCGAGCAAGAUUUUGCAAUGUUAGAUGAGCCUACCGUCGAUAUUUGUGCAUAUUUUCAUGAAUUGUUAGCCUUCUAAUACUCACAAAAUUGAUAAAUGCCGAAAGACUGAAUCUUUGCUCCACUGGGAAGCUCUUCAUUCAAAAUUGAUUUACACUUGAUGGAAAAUAAUGCUCCUUACAUAACUAACCGGCAGCCGUGCCGGAGGCAAUGUGUGUAUGGAAUCAUAUACUGAGGAUAUUGUCACUUCUAUGUUACGAUUUGAGGAGAGAAAGGCGGAGUAGGGAAGCCGGCCGAGAGGAACAGCUCCUGAUCUUAAGAAGGAUAUGUUGUAUCAUAAACUUAUAACUUGGUCCCUUAUUGAAUGAAAGGGCAGGCUUCUGCUUUGAAUAAUACCACUUCAGACUUCAGUCCAAUUAUGUCUUCCUGUUCUGAAAAUUGACAACUCCAUGUGAUAACAAAACAUCUCAUGUAUUAUUGUACGGUUGAAAAUUGCUGCUUUACACUAUACAUUUAACGUGAUUAGAAAUUCCAUGAAAAUUUACAAACAAUACCAGGGAUGUGUCAUAGGCUGAAAAGGAGUAAGGAUGUUUGUACAUAGGCUGAAAAGGAGUAGGGAUGUUUGUACGUUCCUUCCCCACAGCAAAACCACAUAGCAAAAGGAUUACAAACACAGCUAACAAAUCAAUAAACACAAAAUCAUCAUUAGGUCAACGAUCAUAUGAUUAUAUCAGAUGCACGUCAAUUAAAUAAUUCUCAUGUUCAACUAAGGUCACUAAAAGCCCCCUAUUUGGCCUAAUUAGAUAUGGUCUUCGUGGUGAUAGGAUAUUUGUAAUAUAGCUCAUGACUUAAAAAAAAAAAUUCGGAUUUAAACCCUUGUGGUGAUAGGGUAUUUAGAAGACAAUCCAUUUCUAUUGAGCCACAAUGAAGGGAGUGCAGAAAUUCACAGUUUUGUUUUUGGGAUUAACAAAGAAAUAACAGAAAUUUGGUUUUUGGGCUUAAAUCACAACGGACUUCACCACAAGAAUAUAAAUCUGAUUUUUUUUACCACAUGGGCUAUCUUCCGAAUACUCUAUCAUCACGAGGACUAUUUAUACAAUUAGGUCAAUGUUUUUUUAAGGUGAAUAUCACAUGCUAAAACGGAGAAGGAUUCUCUCAUCUUCUAAUCUCUCUCCCAUUCCCUCCUCUCCUACUUGAACAAUUAUGAUUAAGUUAUGUCAAUAUUUUAUAUUGAUAUUUUUAUAAAGAUAAUAAGACAAAAAACAAUGUGUUGAUGCACAAAAUCAGCGAGGACUUUGGUACAACAGAAAGUGUCAGGUUUGUGACAUUCGCUUGGUUGCUUCGAUCACUAGUGAAGAUAAGUACGUAAAUGAAUAGGGACAGGGAAGCAAACACAAGAUGUACGUGGUUCACCCAAAUCGACUACGUCCACGGAGUAGAGGAGUUCUCAUUAAUUGUGAAGGGUUUACACAAAUACAUAGGUUCAAGCUCUCAUUUUUUGAGUUCUAGUGAAUAGUUUAGUACAAAAUGACAUUAGAUAUUAUUGUGGGAGAAUGAUCCCUAUUUAUAGAAGAAAGUUUCUAGUUUUGUUCUAACAUUGACACGUGUCGUGUUGUGAUUGGCUUCUGAUGUUGACACGUGUCGCGCUGUGAUUGGCUUCUGAUGUCGACACGUGUUGCAUUGUGAUUGGCCUCCUGGUUGAAGGGAAGCUCUUCUGGGUCCUUGACGUAUAACGUUGACCGGUGCUCAGUAGUUUCGGGAUUGGUCAAGUAUGGUACAAACAGUGCUCCCCUAAGUUCCCGAGUGAGGGAAGCUCCUCGGUUGGGGACUUGCAAGAUCCAAGCCACUGAGUAAUCACGAAACUUCUAAGUACCGAAGUGUGGUAUCAUUUUCACGCGCCUUAUCUGUCUCAUAUGUAGAUGUGGCAUCUUCUUUGGAAGUACUUUUCCUUCAUCCAUGGGUGGUAUCUUUAACCGAUGAAGAUGCACAAGGUAAUGUAUCAAUUUCACUUGAAGCUUACUUAUAGUUUCGGGCUUGGUCAAGUGCGAUACAAACCCUAUAGUAGGAGUCCCCCAAGUCGCCGAGCUAGGAGAUCUGCCGAAAGAGGUGACAGACAAGGUAAGCAGUCAAACUUCCAAGCAAGCAACCCAGGAUCAGAGGUUCGACUUCGGCUUCCGGUUGAUUGUUCUCCUUCUCCUUGUCUCUCAUUCAGCUGCCGGGAUAAGGAGAGGCAAAUGGAGAAGAGAUGAUAUGAGAUACUUUUGCUUUUGAAGAAGUAACUUUCCACAGGCUUAUUCUUGAACUGUGCUGGAGGGUUUUCUGGUUCCCUUCAGAGUAUAAGGCCGACUCAAGAAUUUGAGGGUCAAAACAAGUCCAUCAAAUCUAGAGUACGUUCGACCUUGAUGAUAUGGGAUACUUUUGCUGUUGACGGAAUAGUGAAUGUGGUAUGGAAAAGUGUCGUGCUGUAGUGAUCUGUUUCAGCUCACCGUUAAACCUUCUGCUUUAAUCUUUUGCAUGGCAGAAGUGGUGUGCAACCUUUGCAUUUAAAUGGUCCUUCAGAACAUUCCUUCAUAGUGACUCAUCCACGCUUGGCAGCUUCAGUGUAAAGAGCCAAUAUCUGAUCAACUGUCAUGAGGUAUGUGCCGGUGGAAUUCAUGACCUUGACAGCAGUUGAGGAUGAGUUCUCGAGAGCAAUGCUAAGUAAGCAACCAGGCAAAGGUCUCAGGCAGUCAGUUCCAGAUUGGAGGUUUGAUUUCAGGUUCCGACUGACUGCUCUCUUUCUCUUGUCCUGCAGGUGUGGACAAGGACGAAGACAAGGACAGGGAGAAAGCAUAAUAUGAGAUACUCUUACUUUCGACCCUGAUGAUAUGAGAUACUCUUGUUCUUGGUGUGGCUUAUUUGCUGAGGUAUUAUCGGGGGGAAAUAAAGCUGAGUAUUUCGAGAGGUUAUGUUGAGGGUGCAUUCUCGAAUGUGAGAAAGGGUUGAGCAUUUUUGUAGGUUUGCCUGUCCGUUGAGGAUGGAGGUCGAUGUAUAUAGGGAUUUCCCAAUAACAAGUAGUAAUGCUAUUCCUUUAUCCUUCUUGGUCACAACAAUGUAGUGGGAGCUGCCAGCUUCACGUGUUUUAACUUUGUCAGAGCACUUUGAAAAAUUGGUAUGUGGUAUCUGGAAAGCUGAUGUUGCGUGUGAAGAUUACAGACAAGCUUUAUCUAAGGAAAUCUGGCUCUCGAAGUUCUGAGAGCUGUGCCUCUUCGGUUUUCGAACAAGCAAUCCCGUCGGGGAUCUAGCUCUCGAGAUUCGGAAAGCGGUGCAGCUUCGGUUUUUGAGAAAGUAAUUAUGUUAGGAGUCUUUUCUCGAAGGUGAGUAAAGGUUGGACGUUCUUGCCAGCCUGUCUUGCCACAGAACACGGAGGUCGACACACAUAGGGGCUUUCCAGUUGUCAAGCAGUGGUGCUGUUCCUUUACCCUUGUGGGUAAUAGUAGGGUAGCUGGAACUUCUAAAUUCUCGUGCCUAAACUUUGUCAGAGAUCUUUGGCAAAGUUAUAUGUGGUACCCGAGGAGUUGAUGGUGCGUGUGGAGAGUGGUGAUUGAACAGUAAGAUUCACGUGCUUUUUAUUUCACCAGAAAUCUUCGACAGAUUGCCCAUAAUUUCCGCAAAGCUGAGUGUGCAUGUGACAGGUGCUGACGAGGCUGAAAAAGCAGGUGCUUCUUCGAUUUCUGAGAUCGGCCCUCGUGGUCUCUGAGCAACUCAGCUUUCGAGAAAGCAAACGCCUCUUCGAUUUCUGAAGCUCUGUCAAGUGUAGAUUUUUAUAGAGGUUGGCAUUAAGUUCCACAUCACACUUGAAUCUCCACCAGUAGAAGCUCCCUUCUUGCACUUCUAAGAUCUUGAUUUGUCUGACCUCUUCCCUCUUCAACACCUUUGAAAAUGUCUAGCUCCUCUGACCGUCGUUUUGACUUGAACCUUGGAGAAGAGACAGCCACGCCUUCUCCAGACAACAUAUGGCGCCCAUCCUUCAUAUCCCCUACUGGUCCUCUUACCGUUGGGGAUUCUGUGAUGAAGAAUGAUAUGACCGCUGCAGUGGUGGCCAAGAACCUUUUCACUCCCAAAGAUAACAUACUACUUUCCAAACGGUCUGAUGAGUUGGCUGUUAAGGAUUCUUUGGCUCUUAGUGUUCAGUGUGCAGGUUCUGUGUCUAAUAUGGCCCAACGCCUAUUUGCUAGAACCCGCCAAGUUGAAUCAUUGGCUGCUGAAGUGAUGAGUUUCAAACAGGAGAUUAGAGGGCUCAAGCAUGAGAAUAAACAGUUGCACCAGCUUGCACAUGACUAUGCUACAAACAUGAAGAGGAAGCUUGACCAGAUGAAGGAAUCUGAUGGUCAGGUUUUACUUGAUCAUCAGCGGUUUGUGGGUUUGUUCUAAAGGCAUUUAUUACCGUCGUCUUCUGAGGCUGUACUGCGUAAUGAAGCUCCAAAUGAUCAACCUCCGAUGCCUCCUCCUUCUGGGGUUCUGUCCAGUACUGAGGCUCCGGAUAACCACCCUUCGGUGCUUUCUCUUUCUGGGGCUCUACCGACUGCUGAGACUUCCCCUGAGCAACCUUUGUGAAGGCUCCCUCUUGUUUGUUUAUUUUGAUUCAUGUAUAUGUACAUAUUUGUAACUUAUCGGAAAUAUCAAUAAACAAGAUUAUCUUCAUUUCAACGUAUUGUGUUAAAUACACCAAGGCAUUCUUCACUAAGUUCUUUGAAUUUUUCCUUUUGUUGAAGCUUGUAUGUUGAAACUUUGUGAGUGAAGCAUGUAGGUUGAGGUAGUGCUCCCUUAAUUUCCCGAGUGAGGAAAACUUCUCGUUUGGAGACUUGAAAAAUCCAAGUCACUGAGUGGUCGUGAGACUUCCGAGUAUCAAGGUGCAGUAGCAUAUGGUAGGAGUCCCCCAAGUCUCUGGUCGAGGGAGUUGACAAAUGAGGCAUUUCCUUUCGAAGUGGUAGCCCAAAACUCCUUCUUCAUAUAUAUUUGUUAUGAAAGUUGUUAGGCCCAAAGAAGAGGAGGCCUAGGCAAAUUUUUUUUUUUUUGAAUUUUCAAAUUUCCGGAUUUUUGAAUUUUCGAAUUUCCGAAAAAUAAAAAAUAAAAAUAAUAUAUAUAUAUUUAAAAGCUUUGUAGGUGAAGCUUUGGUGUUGAAGAUUUGUAGGUGAAGCUUUGAGGUUGAAGCUUUGUUGGGCACCAUGAAUUGAUUUUGCUUCACACUAUCUUGAUGAAGAGUGUGUGAAGCUUUUAUAUGUUUUGGUGUUGAAAUUUUGUAUUGUAGGUGAAACUUUGGGGUUGAAGCUUGAUAGGUGAAGCUUUGGUGUUGAAGCUUUAUAGGUGAAGCUUUGGUGUUGAAAGCUUUAUAGGUGAAAGCUUUGGUGUUGAAGCUUUAUGAAGCUUUAUGUGAAGCUUUGGUGUUGAAGCUUUAUAGGUGAAGCUUUUGUUGGCACCAUAAAUUAAUUUUGCUUCACACUAUCUUGAUGAAGAUAGUGCGAAGUUUUGGAGAUUGAUAUUUGUCCUCCAUUGAUGAAGCUUUUGUUGGCACCAUAAAUUGAUCUUGCUUCACACUAUCUUGAUGAAGAUAGUGCGAAGCUUUUGAGAUUGAUAUUUGUCCUCCAUUGAUGAAGCUUUUGUUGGCACCAUAAAUUGAUUUUGCUUCACAGUAUCUUGAUGAAGAUAGUGCAAAGCUUUUGAGAUUGAUAUUUGUCCUCCAUUGAUGAAGCUUUUGUUGGCACCAUAAAUUGAUCUUGCUUCACACUAUCUUGAUGAAGAUAGUGCGAAGUUUUGGAGAUUGAUAUUUGUCCUCCAUUGAUGAAGCUUUUGUUGGCACCAUAAAUUGAUCUUGCUUCACACUAUCUUGAUGAAGAUAGUGCGAAGCUUUUGAGAUUGAUAUUUGUCCUCCAUUGAUGAAGCUUUUGUUGGCACCAUAAAUUGAUUUUGCUUCACACUAUCUUGAUGAAGAUAGUGCAAAGCUUUUGAGAUUGAUAUUUGUCCUCCAUUGAUGAAGCUUUUGUUGGCACCAUAAAUUGAUUUUGCUUCACACUAUCUUGAUGAAGAUAGUACGAAGCUUUUGAGGAUUGUAGUUGUGUUCCAUUGUUGAAGCUUUGUUUUUCCUUUUUUUUUUUUUUUUUUUUUUUUUUUUUUGGGAAAACUAGAAAUUUGAAAAUGUGGGAGAGACAACAUAUACAAAUUUUGCUUCCAUACUGUUAAGCGAGAGAUUGUGAUGCAAGCCACAUCUUGUAGUAGUCGAAGGUUUGGAUGAACCAUAUAAAUUGAAUUUGCUUCGAACAGUCUUGAUCAAGAGCGUGUGAAGCUUUCUAUGAGUUGUAGUGUUUGCAUUGUUACAGAGGAGAAAUGUCUGAAGCAGAUGCAAGAGGGCUGAAGAGCUUGAUCUUCGUAUACCAUGCACUGAAGCCAUUGUUGGCUUGCAAUAAGACUUUGUUGGUGACUAUAGCUCUUGUUAGGCAUAAGUGCUCCCUUAGUUGAGUUGUAAAGCUUGAUGGUUUUUGAUUAUUUGUGAAUGCUAGGAGUUCACAUGUACAAGUUGUACCACUCGUCUUCUGGUUAGUGGAAUGAAGGGUGGGUUGCUUUCAUCACUUGGUUGGUGGUACGAAUGUGAAUUCCUUAAUCACCUUUCAUCACAUUUCAUCACCUGGUUGGUGACAUGAAGGAGAGUACGCGUUGUACAUUUCAUCACCUGGUUGGUGGCAUGAAGAUGAGUUCCUUCUUCACCUGAUUGGUGAUAAGGGUGGCAAGUUUCCAAAUAAUAUUAGAGUACGGGUUGUACAUUUCAUCACCUAGUUGGUGGUACGAAGGUGAGUUCCUUCAUCACCUAGUUGGUGAGAAUAAGGGCAAGGUGUCGAGGCACAUUGUGGCAAAUGUCGAAUGACACAAAGUGUGUUGAACCCUUUCGAAGCACAGUUGGCUUAUGUAUGGAUGUGUUGGAAUGUAUGAUGUUUAUGCAUGAAUGUGUUGGAAUGUAUGAUGUUUAUGUAUGAAUGUAUUGGAAUGUAUGAUGUUUAUGUAUGAAUGUGUUGGAAUGUAUGAUGUUUAUCCUUUGUAUAGUCUUGUUGACACAUACUUAGAUUUUGUUUUGUAUUAGAAACAUUUGCGUUGAAGCUUCAACACUUGAGUGUUUCAUUGCUCAGAAUGUAAAAGAGUUUAGGGCCGAGUUGGCUAAAUCACCUUUUUAUUGAAUUCAUACCAAAUGGUUUUGUUACAUAGGAUGCCGAACGGCUGUAGCUUAACACUUGUACAAUGUGAGUCUAUUUGUAAUAGUACUUCAAGUCGUCAGCAUUCCAUGGAUGGCCAAAAGUCUUGCUGUCGGAGCUUCUGAGCUUGUAGGAGCCAGGGCGGCUGAUGCUGACGACCUCGAACGGUCCAUCCCAGUUAGGACUGAGUGUUCCUUCAUUCGGGACUCUAUCACAGAGUAAUCUUUUCUUCAGUACCCAGUCUCCACUUUGAAUGAGCGAGGUUUGACCCUUGAGUCGUAGUAGUUGGAGAUGCGCUGCUUGUAGGCGACAUUCCUCAGAUGAGCCUGAUUUCUAUGUUCCUCGACUAGAUCCAGGUUGAGGGUGAGUUGUUUGUCGUUUUCACUCUGCAUGUAGUUCUGGAUUCGGUAUGUUGCUUGCUCAAGCUCAACCGGGACAACUGCUUCUGUACCAAAAGCAAGUGAGAAUGGAGUUUCUCCUGUGGAAGUCCGAUAUGAAGUGCGGUAUGACCAAAGAACUUGGGGUACGAAUUCUGGCCAACAACCUUUAGCUUUGUCCAAGCUAGUUUUCAGAGUGCGCUUGAUUAUUUUGUUAACGGCCUCGACUUGUCUAUUAGACUGGGGAUGGGCUGGAGAGGCAAAACAUAAGUUGAUGUUAAACUUAGAGCAGAACAUCCUGAAGUUCUUGUUAUCGAAUUGUCACCCAUUGUCCGUGACUAUCGCAUUGGGAAUGCCGAAUCUGCAAAGGAUGUUCUUCCAUACGAAGUCUUCUAUUUUUGCCUCAGUAAUGGUUGCCAAGGGUUCUACUUCAGUCCACUUUGUGAAGUAGCCAACUGCAACGAUUGCAUAGCGGACCUUGCCCUUCCCUGCAGGCAUUGGGCCGAUCAAAUCAAGUCCUCAUUGGGCGAAGGGCCAAGGGCUGAUCAUAGGAGUGAGCGGCUCGGGAGGGGAGUGAGGGAUAGUUGCGUAGCGUUGACACUUAUCACAUGAGCGAGAUAUUCUGAUGGCAUCUUGGUGGAGUGUUGGCCAAUAGUAUCAUUGGCGAAAAGUCUUGUGUGCUAGGGAUCGAGACCCAGCAUGAUCUCCGCAGACUCCUUCAUGUAUUUCCCGAAGGACAAUUUCCGCCUCCGCAGGUGUAAGGCAUCUUAGGUAAGGCAGGGUAAAACCUCGCUUGUAGAGUUGGUCAUUAAUGAUCAGGUAGCGAGCAGACUUGUAUCGAAUCUGCUUAGCUUGGACUUUGUCAUUUGGGAGGGUGCCAUGGGCAAGGAAUUUAUAAAUUGGGGUGAUCCAACUAUCUCCUUGUUGUAAAUUGCACACUUCUGCGACCAUGGUGCUUGGUGCUGCCAACAAUUCGACAUGAAUUUUUCUCCCAAUCUUGUCUUCCACUGCCGAGGCGAGGCGGGCCAAAGCGUCUGCAUGACUAUUUGCCGCUCGAGGAACUUGGGUGAUCUGGUAGUGGAAGUGCUUGAGCAAAAGUCGUGUUUGCGCAAGAUAUGUUGCCAUGGAGCUAUCCUUAGCAUCAAAGUUGUUCGUGACUUGGUUGACCACUGAUUGAAAGUCACUGAAGAUAUCAAUUUGUUUAACUCCAAGAUGCUUGGCCAAACGUAAGCCUGCUAGAAGGGCUUCGUAUUCGGCCUCGUUGUUCGAUGCCUUGAAUUUGAAACGAAGAGCGUAUUCUAUCGCCACUUUGUCAGGGGUAGUGAGGACUAAUCCUGCUCCGCAGCCCUGUUGGUUGGAUGAGCUAUCAACAUACAGACUCCAUGCUGGGGUUGUUGAUUUUGUCUUCUGAGCUUCCGAUGGUAAUGAAGCUAUUGCUUCAGGUGUAGAAGCUAUUGCUUCAGGUGUAGAAGCAAUGUCAACAGGAUAUGUGAAGUCGGCGAUGAAAUCUGCUACUGCUUGACCCUUUUCGGCUGGUUUUGGUUGGUAGGAGAUGUCAAACUCACCCAAUGCUAUUGCCCAUUUGAUCAUUCGCCCAUACGUGUCAGGACUCUAGAGUACCUGUCGAAGAGGGUGAUUGGUAAGCACGAUGAUGGCGUGUGCUUGGAAAUAAGGGCGAAGUUUUCCAGCAGACAUGACCAAUGCUAGAGCUAAUUUCUCAAUGUUGGAAUAUCGUGUCUCCGCAUCUUGUAGGGCCUUGCUAGCAUAGUAGACGGGCCGUUCGACACCACUGUCCUUUCGGAUAAGAACAGAACUGACUGCUGAAGCCGAGACCGAUAGAUAGAUAAUGAGAGUGUCACCAACUUCUGGUUUGGAGAGCAGAGGGGCUUUACUCAUGUACUCUUUGAGGUUCCUGAAUGCCUUGGCACAUUCCUCCGUCCAUGUAAUGUACUUCUUAUUUCCCUUGAGUGCUUUGAAGAAAGGAGCACAUCUGUCUGUGGCCUUAGAGAUGAAUCUGGUUAAGGCUGCCACAUUGCCAGUAAGGCUUUGGAUGUCUUUUGAAGUUACUGGCUCUUUCAUGUCGAGGAUUGCUUUGAUCUUUUCGGGGUUAGCUUCAAUGCCUCGUUGGCUAAUCAUGAAGCCUAAGAAUUUGCCAGAUCCCACGCCGAAGGCACAUUUGUUGGGGUUCAACCUCAUUCGAUACCUCUUUAGAAUGGUGAAAGUUUCAGAUAGGUUGGUGAUGUGUUGGUCAGCAUGUUUGCUUUUGACUAGCAUAUCAUCAACGUAAACUUCCAUGCUCUUCCCAAUCUAUUCGGCAAACAUUGAAUUGACCAGUCUCUGAUAAGUUGCUCCUGCAUUCUUUAGGCCGAAAGGCAUGACUUUGUAGCAAUAUAGUCCCUUGUCAGUAGUGAAGGCUGUGUUCUUGGUCUGAGGGGUUCAUGAGGAUUUGGUUGUAUCCUGAAUAAGCGUCCAUGAAGCUCAAGAGCUCACACCCUGCCGUAAAGUUUAUAAGUCUAUCAAUGAGAGGAAGGGGGAAACUAUCAUUCGGGCAUCCUUUGUUUAGGUCGGUGUAGUCGACACACAUUAUCCACAAGACCUUUUGAAGCAGAAGACUUUCUUUGGUCAGAUUUUUCUUAACAAGGACAACAUUUACUACCCAUGUUGGGUAAUUGACUUCACGGACGAAGCCUAUGUCCUUGAGUUUUUCAACUUCUGCUUUCAUCGCCUCGUAUCGUUCAACAUCAUAAGAUCUUCGCUUCUGUUUUACUGGUUUGGUCUUGGGAUCAAUACUCAAGUGGUGACAGAUGAUAUCGGGAGAGAUGCCCGGCAUAUCUUUAUAUGACCAAGCGAAGACCUCGGCGUUCUCUUGCAAAAAGGAGAUCAGCGACAACCGAAGGGGUGGUGACAAAGUGGUGCCAAUCUUCACCAUGCGAUCUGGAUGGUCUUUGGAGAUAGAGACAUUCUCUAACUCUUCAGCGGGUUGUGCUUGCUGGGUGAAUGAGUCAUCUCGAGGGUCGUCGGGUUGACUGUUGCCAUCAUGAAGAUCCGAGUUGGCUUCAUCUGGACUGGUCUUUACUACCUGGUUAUGUAUAGAGAGGGUCUCCUUGAGGACAUGCAGGUGUUGUUGCUUAACUGAAGUGUUGUAACAUGAUCGAGCACUAAGUUGAUCUCCCAUGAUGUAUCCAUUGCCGAAAGGGGUUGGAAACUUCAUCAACAACAUAUGUGUGGAUACCAUGGCCUUGAGAUCAUUGAUGCCUGUGCGCCCAAAGAUGACAUUAUAUGCCGUCGGGCAAUUGACCACUAGGAAGUUAGUGGUAAUAGUAGCUGUGUAGGGGCCUGUACCAAUGGUGAGGGGUAAGUGUAUACUCCCUAAAGGUUGCACGAUAUCGCCAGAGAAGCUUAUCAGAGGAGAAAUCGAGCGAUCGAGCAAGUGUUCAGCUACAUUAAGUGCCUUGAAAGCUUCAGCAAACAUGAUAUUGACUGAAGCACCUGUGUCUAUCAGGAUUCGUUUCACAUCAAAAUUUGCUAUGUGAGCCUCCACGAUCAGCGGGUCGUUGUGAGGGUAGAUGAUACCUCUUUCUUCCUCAGGGUAGAAACAUAUUGGAUCCCAGUUAGGUUUUUGAUACUUGCCUCCCCUGAUGUCUUCCACGUGAAACACUUGAUGGCCAUGUCUCAAAGUUCGUUCACUGUUUUUCAUGGCCCUAUUGGAAGAUUCAGACAUGGGUGUGCCGCCGCUUAUGGAGUAUAUCACAUUCACCUGGCGUUGGUUACGGUUAUCCCUUGGAGGAUGAAGGAGGAACUGAUCAAUUUUUCCUUCACGUGCCAAAGCUUCGAUAUGAUCAUGGAGGAUGAUGCAUUUCUCGCCGUCAUGGCCAUUAUACGUGGUAGCAGCAAAACACGCUCGUGUUCUUCGUGGACUUGUAAUUUGGCUGUCUUGGCUUUGGCUUUGGUAUCAGGUAAGCUAUACUGGGGUAGAUGGCCGCGCAUGUAGCGUUCAAAGGUGUGUAUGUCUCAUACCUCGGGGUAUGGCCUGUCUUGACACGCGAUUGGCCCACUGCGUUGACUGCAUGGGGAUGGGUGUUAUUGUGACGAUAUACUGAGUUAUCGUGAUAGUGCCCCUUAUUCUUUUUAUUAAAAUGAGAUUGGUGAGGAUGGAAAUCUUUCCUUUUGCCCUGGGAUUGAUAUGUCUGCUGACUUGGCGAAGCAUUAAAUGAGGCCGGGGGGUGUGCUGCUACCGUUUGGAAGGUUGAGGUCUUUUCAUUCGGUUGGAUCUGGCCUCCACUCCUACUUGCUGAUAAGGGGUGACUGUAGGGGGUUUCCCUUGAUAUGUCCUUGCCUCGGCAGAGGCAUGGUUGUAAGCUUGUGCCAUCACUUCAGAGUAAGUCUUCCAAGUGUUGGCAUUGAUCAUGUACUUGAAGAAACAGUCACGUAAGCCUGCCGUGAAGGCCUUGAGGGCGGUCUUGUCAUCUGCCUCAGCGCAGCGGGAAUACUCAUGGCUGAAGCGACCAGCAUACUUUCGUAAUGACUCGUCCGGCUUCUGGUGAAUAGUGUACAAGUCAUCUGCGGAAUGCAAGCGAUCGGUCUAGAAGAUGUGUUGAGAGACAAACAACUUCCUCAACUCUUCAAAUGAGUCUACCGUCUCGGGUAGAAGACGACAAUACAGUUUAAAGCUCCGCCAGAAAGGGUGGAGGGGAAGAGAAGGCACCGUUCUUCAUCGGUGUGUCUCCGGUAUACCAUGGUGGACUCAAAGAGGUUAAUGUGUUCAAUCGGGUCUUCCCUUCCAGUAUAGAGUUGUAAGUCAAGCUUCUGCUUUGUCUUCGCUUGGAGGGGGGUGUUGAGGAUCCUUCUUGUGAGGGGGCCAGGCCUGGGUUGGUUCCAGUCAGGUAUCUCGGCUUGACGUUCAGCCUUCAACUUGUUUACUUCCUCCAGGAGCUGUAGGACGAGGGGGUCCUGAGUGGAGUCGUGCAUCACUGGAGUUUUCUUCCGUAAGUCCCCAUCGCCUCUUGGAAGUAGGAAAGUUUGAUCAAGAUAGCAUGAUUUUUCCUUGGACUCGUCACACUGACUCCUAGAGUGAGUAUGUCGGAACAUUUCCGAGUCCCCUGUACCUUCAUGUUCUUCUGGGACUUGUUGCCCAUUCCCUAGAUUAACUGCUGGCCUGGGUCGUGGGAAAGGACCGAGUCUUUCAGAAACUCUUGGGUCAUUGAUCUUCGAGCUUAUGUGGAUGGGAUUCUCUCGACGUUGCUUUAGGAAGUCUCGACAAUCGCGAUAGACAGCUUUUGAUCCUUCCACUCCUUCUGUGAGGAGGUGCUUUCCUCUACUCUUUCUGCUUCGGGUUGAAGCAGCUGGGUUGAGAGAAGUCUCAUGUUGAUUAUCACAUUGAUGUGUAGCUCGAUCCCUAUCAGGGAUGUCCGUGUUGGAUAUUGGUGACCCUCCGUGUUGGGGGGCAUUCAGAUGAUUGUUGACCUCAGCAGGGGCGACGAGCUUGUGUGCUUGAGCAUGCCUAGCCUCGUGAAGCAUCUCGAAAAGUUUUUCAUACUGCUCCUGGAGGACCUCGUUCCUCAUCACUAUCUUGUUGUUCUGAGCUUCUAACUCAUCGACUUUAGCUUGAAGAGUAACUCUAUUUCCUUCCUGCUUUCGUUGCUUCAUACUAGGUCCAAUGGGGGUGUCAUUCUGUGUGCUAUGGCUUCUUUCGCUCCCCAUGUUGGAGAGAGAUGUUUGGCCAAAAGAAAGUGUACGGGCGGUGGAAACCAGCUUAACAAAGCUGAAGAGAGUGGGAGUAAGUGUCUUUCCCACAGACGGCGCCAAAUGUUGAUGCACAAAAUCAGCGAGGACUUUGGUACAACAGAAAGUGUCAGGUUUGUGACCUUCGCUUGGUUGCUUCGAUCACUAGUGAAGAUAAGUACGUAAAUGAAUAGGGACAGGGAAGCAAACACAAGAUGUACGUGGUUCACCCAGAUUGGCUACGUCCACGGAGUAGAGGAGUUCUCAUUAAUUGUGAAGGGUUUACACAAAUACAUAGGUUCAAGCUCUCAUUUUUUGAGUUCUAGUGAAUAGUUUAGUACAAAAUGACAUUAGAGAUUAUUGUGGGAGAAUGAUCCCUAUUUAUAGAAGAAAGUUUCUAGUUUUGUUCUAACAUUGACACGUGUCGUGUUGUGAUUGGCUUCUGAUGUUGACACGUGUCGCGCUGUGAUUGGCUUCUGAUGUCGACACAUGUCGCAUUGUGAUUGGCCUCCUGGUUGAAGGGAAGCUCUUCUGGGUCCUUGACGUAUAACGUUGACCGGUGGUAGAUGGCCGCGCAUGUUGAUGUGGCAUCUUCUUUGGAAGUACUUUUCCUUCAUCCAUGGGUGGUAUCUUUAACCGAUGAAGAUGCACAAGGUAAUGUAUCAAUUUCACUUGAAGCUUACUUAGAAGUUUCGUGAUUACUCAGUGGCUUGGAUCUUGCAAGUCCCCAACCGAGGAGCUUCCCUCACUCGGGAACUUAGGGGAGCACUGUUUGUACCAUACUUGACCAAUCCCGAAAACUACUGAGCACCGGUCAACGUUAUACGUCAAGGACCCAGAAGAGCUUCCCUUCAACCAGGAGACCAAUCACAAUGCGACACGUGUCGACAUCAGAAGCCAAUCACAGCGCGACACGUGUCAACAUCAGAAGCCAAUCACAACACGACACGUGUCAAUGUUAGAACAAAACUAGAAACUUUCUUCUAUAAAUAGGGAUCAUUCUCCCACAAUAAUCUCUAAUGUCAUUUUGUACUAAACUAUUCACUAGAACUCAAAAAAUGAGAGCUUGAACCUAUGUAUUUGUGUAAACCCUUCACAAUUAAUGAGAACUCCUCUACUCCGUGGACGUAGCCGAUCUGAGUGAACCACGUACAUCUUGUGUUUGCUUCCCUGUCCCUAUUCAUUUACGUACUUAUCUUCACUAGUGAUCGAAGCAACCAAGCGAAGGUCACAAACCUGACACUUUAUGUUGUACCAAAGUCCUCGCUGAUUUUGUGCAUCAACACAAUGUAUGAGAGAAGGAAAUGAAAGAUGAUGUGAAUAAGAGGGGAGAAAAUUCUACUCAUGCUAAAAACAAAAAAUAAUGAUCGACUCUGUAGAUAUUGGCCAAACCAAACAUUAGAUGUGAAAAAUUAGCACUUUGCCGAAUAAUAUUCCGAGUGAGCAAAAUAGAGAAAAAUAUAACAAUGGCACACAGAAAAAAUAUAAAAGUUGAGGAGCCGGGUGAUAUAAUAUUAGACAUUGCAAUUGUAGGCUCGGACGACUCAAGGAGAAAAAGGUUGCUUGCACCACUAUAGGAAAAUUACAAAUCAACAAUGCAGAGGUAACGUGCAUGGUCUUCUCUUCUGCCAUGAAAAAUUCAUGUUGCUUUCAUAUAAUUAACUAAUUAACUAGUUAUUAGUGUUAAUUAUUCUCUAACAUUUCCUUCCUCCAUUGUUUUCUUCUUCUUCAGAUCAAAGUUUCAAUAGUUUUUUUUUAUUUUUUAAAUUCCUUUUACUUUAACAAUAUUAGCGAUUCCAAUUCUACUAGCUAGUUUUAGGUUGUAUUUUAAUUGGCUCGUGUGCUUCUGUUGCAGGACGUGUUUGGGGAAAAAGGAAGGAUACUUGAACAGGCAGGAGCUGUAGCAAAGGUAGCCUCUAUGAAAAAACAUAAUGAACUCUUUGUAACGAAACAACUUCGUUUGACUCGUUUCAUUUAAAUUUUUUGUUUUUCUCAGGUGCAAAGCGACGUGGUUUUGUUAAAAAAAAAAAAAAAACUAAAACGGAGCAACGCCCCACUGCAGAAAACCAAAAUGCAGCACCGCAGCACCAGAGCAGAGGGGUGGAAACCUGGAUUUUGGGAACGAACUCCGGCGACCGAAGGUGCGAACACACCUCCUUGAACCUCUGUGGCUUCGCCAAUGAAGGUCUCGAUAUUAUUUAUGAGGAGUUCAUGAUAAUUACUUUAAAGUGUUAAUAACAAUCCUCUUUCUUAUUCUUAUGCUAGUAGGUCUGGUACUUCCUACAAUCUUAAAAUAUGCAUAAAUUCACUCAUAUAGAAUGGGAAAAUGCCAUACGUUACCAUUUGGAAAUUGGCGAGACAUGAAAAAGUCCUUGAACCUCGCUCCCCCCCGCAAGGCAGGCUUAAACUCGCCCGUGAUGAGAAGACAUGUCUUUUGUGAAUGACAGGAAAUAGGACAAAACCAUCCCUUCUCUUUUUUGUUAGUAAAAGCAUCCCAUGCUUUCUAUCUCUUCAUUCCACUGACUAUUUCGAACACAAAACAUCAAUACAAGUAUUAGUAAAAUGAAAACUUCUUUCUUUUAUUCAAUAAUUAUUAUGGGUUGUGUUUAUUGAUCAACCUGUAAGUAGAUAAAACACUAAUAAUACAAUUAGUUAGGUAAAAAAAAUCAGUUUUUUUUUCAAGUUUCUCAACUAACCGGGACCUAAGUAUUCCCUUGGCGUUCUUACACCAACAAAGAAACAACAACGAAACACACAGGAACACAAAAAUUGGGGACCUCUUUUUAUCUACUUGCCCACCAUCACAAAUAUUACCUUUUUUUUCUUGUAUGGUUUGGUGGUAGGGAACGAAACCUAGCUACAUUCACUUCUUCUGAUUUGCAGUUGACUCUGGUUUUUACAUGAGUAUAUACUGAAGCUCGAUGGACCCCAGGCUAUAUAAUAUUCGAAAAUAGUCAUUCCUUAUUUGUCCGUCAAUCACAAUAUAUAUAAUCAAUUUGAUGAGUAAUUUUGCGUACAUGUAAAGUGUACGUACAAUCCUACAGAGAAUAUUUACAUUAGUUAUAAGGCCUCAGCAUUUGAUAUAACUAAAAGGCAACCUGUAUCAACUCAUUCUUCGAGUCAAGAAUAUCUGAGCUUCUUAGAGGGGGAAUAUAGGCUCUAAAACCAUGUCUUGGUUUUUUACAGUUCUCUUUCUUGUUACUGCUCUUACAUUUCAUACUCCUUCAGAGGCUAGCCAUGAGAAGAACGAUCCUUCUGCAGUUGUUGUAGGCACUGUCUACUGUGACACAUGUUUCCAAGAGGAUUUCUCACAUACCAGCCAUUUCAUUUCAGGUAAAUUCAUCUCAAAAUUUCAACAAGUUCUUCAUCAAAUUUAUUUUUAUAUUGUAGUCUGACUAUAAAAUAGACGUCCGUUCAAUGAUUUCCGUACACCUUCUCCUCCAUACACUCAUGUUUAUUUUGUAAUCUUUAAAUUCAAAUGAAUCAAAGAAAAUCAAAAGAAAGGAAUAAAAAGGGUACAAAAUGAAAAAAAAGAAAGUAAAAUCCAAGAAAAUGACUGAAAACCUAUAUGUAAGUAUUUCCUAUAUAUGAGUCAACUAUACAACUACGAAAAGUAUAUAACAAAUCAAUUUCAAAAAAAUCUCGCCUAACUCCUUGGCGGUAAGACUCUGCAUUCAAUCACGAUUUCUUUCCAACAGACAACGAGUGGUAGGGAUAUUAUUUCUCUUGAAGAAAAGUUGGAGGAUAUGUCAUUUGUAUGUGUUGAUAUCAUUGUCGCCAAGUAUGCAUGUCAUCAGUAACUUUAAAUGAUUUAUCCCCAUACAAAGUAUAAUAGUUGAUCUAAAUGAUUUAUCCCCAUACAAAGUAUAAUAGUUGGUCUAAACCCUAAUUCCAUAAAGGACCAUACUGUUUAAAUGAAAUAAUUGCUCGGUUCCAUUUUACCCCUACAUUUUCUGCUUUUGUUUCGUUGCAAGAGUUUAACUUGUUAUUUGGAAUAUAUUGUUCACAGAAAGCACUUGUUCAGCAAUUUUUGGCUACUGAAGAUGCACUGAACAAAGCUGCAGAAGCGAGGGAUCUAUGUCAAAAACUUAUAAAACGCUUGCAUGGCAAUAGUGAUGUAAUUUCUUCAGGAACAUCACAAAAUGUGGGCAGUCUUAGGCAACUUGAGGUAAAUCUUCCUUGCAUAUUAAAAGUAUUAACUACCAAUAGUUUGGGUGGAAAUAGCACCAUGGGUGACAGGUUUGAUUAGUUUCAGUCUUUUGAUCGUUUCCAUAGUUGUAUACUGUAUACUAGGUUACUUUUAGCCUGCACUGUGUUCUCAUCUGAUUUUUUACAGUCUUCCAUUUGCUUUGUGUAGAUGGAGGUUUGGGCUAAGGAAAGAGAAGUUGCUGGCUUGAGGGCUAGCUUGAAUACACUGAUGUCUGAAAUACAACGCUUAAAUAAAUUAUGUGCGGAAAGGAAAGAAGCUGAAGAUUCUUUGAAAAAGAAGUGGAAGAAGAUUGAAGAAUUUGAUUACCGCAGAUCAGAACUUGAAAUCAUAUAUACCACAUUACUAAAAGUUAACAUGGUAAGGAUCUCAGCUUCAAUAGUGCUUAUAAAUUUACUAGUCACUUCAUAUACUGGCAUUGUAUAAGCCAUGUCUGGUCAUUCCAUGAAGUGUCGGCUCCUUUUCUUUAAGUUCCAGGCAAAAGUUCAUAUAUAUAAUAUAAAAUUCAAGACAAAUUUUCUAGCAGCCCAACGAGUAGAUGGACUCUUUUUUUUUUUUAAAUGAAAUCCACGGUCUCCUCUUUAGAUGCCCAAAGACCCUAUUUAUGGUUAUAGGUCUGGGGUUAACUCACCAGGAGACUUCAAUUUCCCUGGAACUUAUGCAAAUGAUAUCACCAAUUGCAUAGUUUUCAUUUGUUAUUCGUAUCAUAUGGUAGAAUAUUUCAAUAGAGGCAGCUAGGAUAAUGCUUAUCCAUCUCUUUGUCUUCUGUCGGGAAUAUUUUCUAAUGUUAUUUUUGUCUUGGUACAUGGUAGGAUGCUGCUGCCUUCUGGAAUCAGCAGCCAUUAGCCGCACGGGAGUAUGCAUCAAGCACAAUUAUUCCUGCAUGCACAGUAGUCAUGGAUCUUUCAAAUAGUGAAAAACAUCUUAUUGAAAGAGAAGUUUCUGCUUUUGACCAAAGUCCUGAUAAUAGCCUCUACAUGAUUCCAGCAAUUCCACAGGUUUGUGUUGGGGCUUAAAAAGACUUCACUACUUUGGAGAUGUUUAUCUCAUAAAGAAGAAUGUAACGCAGCGGAAUUGAUAGCCAAGAAAAAAGAAAGAACACUCAGAGUAUUACACAAAAUUUUUAUUCUCACACAAACUUAGUACAAGAGGAAACACUCAAACACUCUUACACUUCUUCACUCUUUUUCUCGCUUCUUGCUUUCUUACUGACUCUCACUUCUUCUUGCUUCUUUGUUACACAACACCACACACCUAUUUAAAGGUGGUGUUCCCCGACUAUCCUUGUUACCACCGACUUGAGCAUUGCAGCAAUGACCACAUGAUUUGCCGCCUCUAGAUCUUUCUUUAACUUGGAUAUUUUAGGUGAUAACCAUUUGAAAUUGCUGAAAUUUUCCAGCUAUAUUAUCGACAUAGAUUGCUAGCAUUUGCACACAUUUGCUUUGGGUUAGAUCACUUGUCUUGGGCCAAAGACAAGAUUACCUUUUAACAUCCUCCCUUAAUCUUGUCUUGUGACGCCGAUUGAGUUCCUCAGUCUAACAAAGUCUUCUUGUUUGAGUGGCUUGAUGAAUAUGUCAGCGACUUGGUCUUGAGACUUCACGGAUUCCACUUGCACAUCCUUUCUUGCAAUGCACUCUCUUAUGUAGUGAUAACGAGUAUCUAUGUGCUUGCUCCUGUCAUGGAACACCAGAUUCUUUGCUAGAGCUAUUACAGACUUGUUGUCGACAUUGAUCUCUGUUGGCUCUUCUUGUGGCCUGCUUAAUUCUUUCAGCACGUUUCUCAGCCAAAUUGCAUGACAGAUACAUGCGGUAGCAGCUAUAUAUUCAACUUCACAGGCAGACAGUGUGACAAUUGGUUGCUUCUUCAACAUCCAUGUGAAUGCAGUGUCUCCCAUGAAGAACACAAAUCCAGUAAUGUUUUUUCUAUCGUCGGAAUCUCCUGCCGAAUCACUGUCGCUAUAUCCAACAAGCUUGUAGUUAUUAGAGCUUGAAUAGAACAAGCCAAAGUUAAUAGUACCUUUAAGGUAUCAAAGAAUUCUUUUGGCGGUCUUCAAAUGUGUACUUAUGGGAUUCUCCAUGUAUCGACUAACUAAUCUGACGACAUAGAGAAUAUCUGGUCUUGUGCAAGCCAAUAGUGCAAGCUUCUAACUAGACUUUUGAAAAAUGUUGGAUCUACGCUUUCUCCUUUGUCAUGCUUGGUUAGUUUGACUCCGCACUUCAUUGGCGUGCUUAUGGGCUUGCAGUCUUCCAUUUUGAACUUUUUCAAUACCUCAUUUUGUAGCUUUCUUGGGAGAUGAAAAUGCCUUCUUCGUUUUGCUUAACUUCAAUGCCUAGGUAGUAUGUCAUCAGCCCGAUGUCGGUUAUCUCGAAUUCUUUGGUCAUCACUCUCUUGAACUCUUCAAACAUACUUGGAUUACUCACGGUGAAGAUUAGAUCAUCCACAUAUAAGCACACAAUCAAAAUGUCUCCAUCUUUGACUUUGAGAGCAUGUUCAUGAGGGCACUUGAUGAAGUUGUUCUCCUGAAAGUACUUGUCGAUGUGACUAUUCCAUGCUCGUGGCAUUUAUUUUAACCCAUAGAGGACUUUCUUCAACUUCAGAACUUUGUCUUCAUGCCCUUUGAUUUCAUAACCUGAUGGUUGCUGAAUGUAGACUUCUUCUUCAAGGACUCCAUUUAGGAAAGCGGACUUCACAACCAUUUGUUGAAUCUUCCAUUUGUUUUGAGCUGCCAAAGAAAUUAGUAAUUGUAUCGUUUCCUAAUGAGCAACGGGUGUAAAUACUUCAUUAUAAUCGAUUCUGGCUGUUUGACUAUAACAUUUCGCCACUAGUCUCGCCUUGUGUCUUUCGACCUCUCCAUUGGCAUUUUUCUUUGUUUUGUACACCCACUUGACUCCGAUGGCUUUAUGUCAUUUCGGAAGAAUAGUGAGUUCCCAUGUAUCAUUUUUUUGAAUUGCUUUGAUUUCUUCAUCCAUUGCUUUCCUCCAUUUAGUAUCCUGCACUGCUUCUUAGAAGUUGACUAGUUCACAAUCAGCAAAGAGACAGAAAAAUGUAGGAUUAUCAAGUCUUUUAGCCACCUCAUAGAGAUCUUGUAGACUUCUUGUGUGUGGUACUUCUGUUUCAUUUAGACUCCCACUUGACGAUGCUGAUGCUGGUAAAUUGCCAUGAUUGGUUGAUGUUGGUGAAGCAGGUAGAGUAGUGGAUUCUUGUUGAUCUUCUCUUGCUUGCUCCAUUAUUGUUUGUUCAUUAUCUUCUUCAAAUUGAGGAAAGAAGUGAAGAUCACCUGCAUGCAAGCCAAAAUCCCAUUCUCUUUCUUUAUUGAACGUCACUUCUCGACUAAUCACCGUCUUCCCAUUGUUCGAAGUAUACAGUUUAUAGCCUUUUGAAUUUGUGUCAUAGUUGAUGAAGAUGAACUUCUCACUUUUGUCGUCAAGUUUGGUGCUCCUCUUGUCUGGUACAUGUACAUGGGCUAUGCUUCCAAAAACUGUUAGAUGAAAGAUACCUGGCUUUCUUCCACUCCAUGCUUCUUGCGGAGUCCUUCCCUACACACUCUUUGUUGGAGACCGAUUGGAUAGGUAGACAACAUAUGUUACAGCUUCUGCCCACAAUUCCUUAGGCAAUCUCUAGCUUUUGAGCGUGCUUCGAGCCAUGUCGAGGGAUAGUUCGAUCUUUUCUUUCCGCCACACUAUUUUGUUGAGGGGAUCUUGGAACUAUCAAAGGUCAACGAAUUCCAUUUGCUUCACAAAACUCUUGAAAUUCAUUCGAAGUGAAUUCUCCUUCUCGAUCAGAUCUCAUGGCUUUGAUCUUGCAACCACUCUACUUUUCUACAACGGCUUUGAACUUCUUGAAUGCUCCAAAGACUUCUGAUUUCUGCUUCAAGAAAUACACCCAGGUUUUCCUUGAAAAAUCAUCAAUGAAGAGAAGGAAAUAAUUAUUUUUAGCCCAUGGAACACAAAAUUAUAACUUUUUGGACAACAAUACCCUUCUCUUUUUCAUUAAUUUCACUUCGAAAAUUAAACAAAAUUAAUCAAAAUUCCAGAGAUCUCUCAAUUUCUGCACAAUUAGCAUAAAAUAUUCAUUAAAAAUCAAAAUUUACCUCAACAAAUCAACUCAAAAACUAAGUUCUCUUGUUUUUCCAGGAAAUCAAGCUUAUUUGAUCGCACUUCAAAUUUUUUGGGAAACUGAGUGACAAAAACCCAACAAAAAGAAAUUUUCUCUAUGUUUGAUUUCUAUAUUCAAAGAAGAAAAACAGCAAAAUGAAGAAAAUCCAGAUCAGAUAAAGCAUUCUUGAGAAAGCCAAAGAGAGGAAAUUUUCUGGGGAAACAAACAUGAAGAACAGAAGGGUACCGGGGAAAGCCGAUGAAAGGAAGUGGCUGAUGCCGUCGCUCGAGGGAUGGGACAGCGAGGAUUAGGUGGAAGAUGUGAGGGAUGACGUUGAACUCGUAGGCGGUGGCUCAGGUAAGGUCGAACUCGUCGGAGUGGAUGGGUACGAUUGUCAUUUAAUCUUUCGUUCCAUUUCAGCUUGAACAUACACCAAAUGUAGCAUGGAACCUCCGUUCCGUCCUGUUUCGUCCAGUCUGUGUACUAAACGGUACCUUAUUGAAUGAAAGGAAAAGGCUUCUGCUUGGCUUAAUACCACUUUAGUCCAAUUGUCUUCUUGUUCUAGAAAUUGACAACUCUAUGUGAUGAAAAAACAUCUCAUGCUUAUUGUACGGAUGAAAAGUGCUGCUUUACACUAUUACAUUUAAAGUGAUUAGAAAUUCCGUGAAAAUUUAUAUUAUCUCAUUGCAUUGAUGAACGGGUGAGAUAUAGAGAAACAAAAUUUUAUACUUUCAUCUACUACAUUGAUGCUUAGGCGCACCGAAAGUCACCCAAAACCCUAAAAUUCUCCUCAUGAAUUAUGUGUCUAAUAUUUUUCAGAAGUUGUUAUCAGCACUUGCAAACAGUUUUUUAUGCAUGUCGGUCUGGAAGUUAUCUAUGAGGGGUCAUGAUAAUUAUUUUAAAAUGUUAGUAACAGUUAUCUUUUCUUAUUCUCGGUAGGCGGCUACCUCCCCCACACAGCAGCCCUAAACUCGCCCGUGAUGAGAAGACAUGACAUGUCUUUUGCGAAUGACAGGGAAUUGGACAAAACCAUCCCAUCUUUGUUUCAAUAAUUAUUAUGAAUUAUCGUAUACCGAUUAAUCUGUAAGCAGAUGAGAUAGCUACUCAUUUUCACCAUAAAAGGAAAACAUUUCAUCACAAGAUUGCAGUGCGGACAGAGAGGGUUGUGGUUGUCGUAGAUAAACCUAGGUUUCGUCACAAAACAGGAAAUUGAAUUAAGAACAAAACAAACAGAUUGUGGGUAGGAAAAGACAGAUUUUUUAGUGUGUUGAGAACACUGUUUGGUACACCAAGUAUAAUAAUACAAUUGGUUGGAAACUUGUUAAAAAAAAAAAUUUCCAACUAUUUAUAUCAUAUGGUGUAUUAGACCGUGUUCCCGAUAUCAACGAGAUUUGGAUGUCAUGCAUACAAAUAAAGCCCCUUAUUACUGUCACAUUAUUAUGUCUUGAUAAGAUCUUUAUUUAUUCCCUGCAAGUACCAUAUGAGAAAUGCUAAAGAGACUCUCUAUGGAUUCUCUGUUUGUCACUUCAUGUUUUUGACAUAAUAUUUUAUAAUGUUAGCACCAUAAUUGACUGUAAACUGUAAGGUAAUAUAGAGUAUAUGAAGAGUUCCACUUUAAGAGUGUCUCCUUAGCAUUUCUCAUACCAUAUUCUGACACCAUAGAAAGUAGCCAUUUUUUAUUGUAAGUUUUAGUUUUCACACGUAUUUAUGUUAUGCGAGACAACCGCAAAUAAAUCUUUUUGUAUAUACAACUUUUAUCAAGUUUAAGAGUUAUAAUUAAGAUAUUCCCGGUUGUAUAUAUUUAUAUGUUUUUAGUCAGUAUAAUUGGAGCUCAUCAUUAGUGUGUACGUGAUAGAUAUCCUCGGUUACACGGCAGAAUCUCACAGGAAUGUCAUAGCCAAUAAACUAGGCUCCUAUGCAUCAAUUUUUUAUGUGUGAAGAGAAAACACGAAUAAAUACAUGCAACAAUCUAUUGUUGCUGAUUGUGUACAACUUCAGACUCAUGAAAUUUGUAGCCACUCUACAUAUCUCGUGUGUAAAGUGGUACAUCAAAUGUGUCGAACUUGAUACAUCAAGUGUCAUAAUGCAAUUAAUUAAAAAACAAGAUUUCAAAUCUUUAUUUUCAAGUUUCACAUCUAACAGGGACCCAAUUAUUCUCUUUGGGACUUUUACAGCAACAAAGAAACAACCUCAAUCUACUUGCCCACCAUCCCAUACCUUUUUUUUUUCUUGUCUGGUUUGGUGGUAGGGAAUGAAACUUAUCUACGUUCACUUCUUCUGGUUUGCAGUUGACUGGUUUUUCCAUUAGUGUAAAAACGAAGCUUCAUGGACUGAUGCAGUACAUGGGGAACAAAUAUAUUUAAGGUUUUAGUGACUUCUUAUCUCUUAAAAGCCUUUGUGACCUUUCUUUUAAUUGAAUUGCCUAGUAACUAUCCUACUCUUAAAUAUUUAGUAUACCAAUGUUUGUAAUUUCCCUAUUUAAAGGGCUCCAUAUGUAUCCUUAAAGUGGUGAAAUUAGUGAAUUAAAGUUAAUCUAAGAAGAGAGUGGGCUUUCUCCUCAAAAUCAAGUGUGAGAUUUGGUUGUGUCGAGUGAAUCCACGAUUAGUGACGUGAGUGAAUCCGUUGCCCCUGGUCGAGUGAUUCCCAGGUUCUAUCCCUGUAGAGACGUGAGUGAUUCCGUCCCCCCUAGUUGAGCGAUUCCCAGGUUACUACCCCUUGUCUUUUCGAGACCCAUGGUUUUUUCUGCAUCAAGUGGCAUCAAAUAGAGAUGGCAAUUCAAACCGUUAAACUCGAUAACCGUGUAUAACCGCCUGAGAGAGGAUUUGGGUAUGAAAAUUUGGGUAUAUUAUGGAAAUGGGGAAAAAACGUGAACUUUAAUCGGUUAUGGUUUUGUAUAUGAUUAUAAGGGUCCCCAAUCCAUAUCCGUCCCCAAAUCCGAAUCCGAACCGAAUAAUAUAUAAUAUUAUUUGGUUUAUGUAAUAUAUAUAUAUAUAUAUUGUAUUUGAGUGAAGCUAUACCAUCAUUACCAUAUUCAUUAUUCGCUGCAUAAUGUAUUUAGUAUAUUAUUCGCCGCAUAAUGUAUUACAAAAUUCAUUUAUUGUUAUUGUGGAGCCAAAAAUAAUCAUAGGGCAACACAUGGAUUUUGGUAAAAAGGACAAAGUUACUCCUGAGACACACCGGUUCUCCUACGCCUGAGCAGUGGACAGUCAUUCUUUAAUCAAGCCAAGAGUGUCCAAAAAAGGUAACCAAUUCCAAAUUAUCUCAUCCAUCCUCAUCUUAGGUAAUUACUUCAUAACCUACAAAUUAUUCCAUAUACAUAGAGAUUAAUUGGCUAAUUAAUGGAUUAAUUCCUAAUUAAUCCAUUAAUCACCAAUUAAAUCACCCAUUUUCACACCUAAAACCUCUAAGGCCCGGCCACCUCCAUUCCCUAUAUAUAUGACCCUAUUUUUUCUAAAAAAAGGGUUCCACACUCUUGCAAAACUCCCAAAAACUCUCCAAAAACUUUUAUCUCUAAAUUCUAACUUUGGCAUCGGAGGUUCUUCGGCCAAAGCCUCCCAUUCAUUGUGGGCGGGUGAGGCUCUUGGCCUUGACCUAAGGUGUUAAUUGUUUUGUAGGUUCAAUUUUGUCAGGUGCAAUUUUGUCCAAGAAGAAGAAGGCGGAAAUUUGCAUUCAUAAAUUGGUGUUUUCAUUGAGAGAUGAGUACCACACUCGUAGAAGACUCUCGCAUCCAAGGUUUUCUAUUUUCUUGUCCAUUUGUAGAUUUUUCGUACGUUCUUAUUAUUAGAAUUUUUUAUUUGCAAAAAUUCUUUGAUAAAACGUAAAAGAGAAGUACAAUGGCUAGAAAUUUAAAAAAUUCAACAAAUGAAAAUUUCAACAUUUAAGAGAUGGGACCACGGCGAUUCACGAGGCUAAAUGUGACAAUAAGUGGAGCAGCACCACAACCACAAGUUUCCUCCAUGGGAACCACCGUGGUGGCUGCCUCGGUAGCCACUCGCGGUGAGGUCCAUGGCACCAUUACCGCGGCGAGGUCUAUGGCACCAUUACCACGGCCUGAGUCGUGCCAUUAAAGCAAUCCCAAUACAUGUCACUUCAAGCCCAAUGUGUUGCCAAGCCGAGCCCUAGCCUCGCACCCACAUACGCCACACGCCGAGCAGCCUACUCACGUGGCCCAGCCUGCCCCCAUGGCCGAGCCUGCUCCCGCCGAGUAGCCUACUCCUGUGGCACAACAUGCUCUAUCUAAGCAGCCCAUUCUCGUGGCACAGCCUGCUCCCUUUGAGCAUCUCAUUCUCGUGGCCCAACCUGCUCUCGCAGCUCUGCUUGCUCCCAUAACCCUGCCUGCUCCCAUGAUUUCCCAAGCAGCCCAAGUCGGCUCGAGAAUAUCUCGACCAUCCAGAGCAACCAUCAAGCCGGGGGCAUUUUUACCAUAUUUCUCCACAGAUUUGACAUUUCCCAACUCAAAUCUCAUGCCUAGAGUGUUCCAUACUUCCACUGCUUAAUGAGGCACAUUCUUUCUAAGCUCUUCCAAUCUAAAUGGCGAACAACACUUGUCUCGACAAGUCAUAAAGUUGACGAGCUCCCUUGCACAACAGACGACCUUGAUGAAUCAACUUUUGCAAUGCACCGAGAUCUAACGUGCCUUGGACAAGGUAUCCCUAAGUAGGACAAGGGUAGACGAAUCUUUCCAGCAGCAUCCCGGUAAGCAGCUACUCGACCAGCCACGAGCCGAGCGUUCGGGUAGUGUACAUUUCUGAUUAGGCCCCCAAGAUAGCAUAUACUUCCAUCUUAUAGCACGGAGGAGCGUGCACUCUCGACUAGGCCUGAGGAUAAGUAUACACUCACGAUUGGGGCUACACUUAGAUAAUCAACAUGAGCAGCCUUCCAGGCAAUGCAUUCAUUCGCAGCUAGGCCCGUAAAGAAUAUCAUCCACAUCAUAUCGGAGCAGACAACACAGCAGACGGAAAGAAGCAGUCACUCAAUCCGGCUCAAGUUCAACCAGUAGCCUGUGAGUUACACACUCGCCUGCUAGGAAUAUACCACACCCACCGUAGCCGCGGCAUAGACAAGCCGAACAUAUGGAAGAACAGCUUAGACUAUCACAUCACGAUCAGGGGCAAUCAAGAGCUCUGCCACCCCAACAAAGGAAAAUUCAGGAAGAAGUAGAAAGGCUCCUGACCAAGCGAUUGCGCAAUUUCUCGCGCCAACCAAAGCCUCAAAAGGGCACAAGAUGAAACACCUAAUGAUGGCGCAAUAAUUCAGAGAGCAGCUCAUUGCGUUUACACCUUAACGUGGGUUCCACAAACAGUUCACCAAACAAGACCUCGCAGUCUGAAGAUUAUUUCAGUUGUCUAGCAGUCCAGCUUUCCUCAGCUGCACUCACGACAACGACUUCCAUGAUUUCCAGUGCGAAAGGAUAAACUAAUUGCUCUCCAGUGCGAGAGGGUAAACCAAUUCCCCGACACCCAUAUGGGUUUGCUCUCCAAUGCAAGAAGAUAAACUAAUUGCUCUCCAGUGCGAGAAGGUAAACCAAUUCCUUGACACUCGUAUGGGUUUGCUCUCCAGUGCGAGAGGAUAAACUAAUUGCUCUCCAGUGUGAGAGGGUAAACCAAUUCCUUGACAUUCAUAUAUGUUUGCUUUCCUGUGCGAGAGGAUAAACUAAUUGCUCUCCAGUGCAAGAGGGUAAACUAAUUGCUCUCUAAUGCGAUAGGGUAAACUAAAUCCCUGACAGCCAUUUGGGUAAGCUCUCCAGUGCGAGAAGGCUGCAUAGUUUAAAAGAUCAAAUGCUUGAAGAUCAACUAAGCAACAAAUGGUUAGGGGGCAGCAGCCACUUUUACACUUAAUAGUUCGCUCAUCCGACACUUCAUUUUCAGAAACUCUGAUCUUGGCAGCUUUAUCCUUGACUGCUCCAUCUAUGGCAGUUGAAAAAUCAAACUUAAGCAGUUUCCUCAUAUUUAGCAGGCAGCCCAAACAAUUGCCUAUUCCACGCCACUUCCUCGGCCCAUGUCGAACCAAUCAUUGGCUUCAAUCCAGCCGAGUUGCUCAAGCAAUGGCCCCUGCCACAUCACCUCCUUGGCUCAUGCUAAGCCGACUCUUGGCCCCUGCCAGCUGAUGUGUCGUACCACCCUGAUUACUGCCCUGUGGCAGCACCACCCAAGAAGAAGACAAGAAGAAAUUAAGUUUUUAUUACAUUGGUGCGGCAUAGAGAAGACGAAGAAAGCAACAAAAGACGGUCAUUUGCAUGGGCAAGAUGUAGAAGAUUGCUAAAUGAGGGGGAACAAAUAUCCUCUAAACUCUCUCUCUCUCUUGUAAGGUAGAAUAAAUCACUCUCCAAAGUUGAUUUAAUAACCCACUUAAGGUGGACUUAAAUAGGUUUUGAGAGAAAUUUAUUUCCCUUUCCUAGAAUGAUCUAAUUUCAUAUUAAAGAGGGAUUCUACAUCAAAACAGGAAGCGGUUCUAAGUUUCCUAGAGCAAAAAGAUCUUUACACCUGCUGCCCUUUCUUACGAGUAGCCCAACAGGUGUGGGGGCAUUUGUGGAGCAAAAAAUUAUCACAAGGCAACACGUGGAUUUUUGGUAAAAAGGACAAAGUUACCCCUGAGACACACCGGUUAUCCUACGCGCAAGCAGUGGACAAUCAUUCUUUAAUCAAGCCAAGAGUGUCCAAAAAGGGUAACCAAUUCCAAAUUAUCUCAUCCAUCCUCAUCAUAGGUAAUUACUUCAUAACCUACAAAUUAUUCCAUAUAAAUGGAGAUUAAUUGGCUAAUUAAUGGAUUAAUUCCUAAUUAAUCCAUUAAUCACCAAUUAAAUCACCCAUUUUCACACAAAAAACCUUUAAGGGCCGGCCACCACCAUUCCCUAUAUAUAUGACCCUAUUUUUUUUCUAAAAAAGGGGUUCCACACUCUUGCAAAACUCCCAAAAACUCUCCAAAUACUUUUCUCUCUAAAUUCUAACUUUGGUAUCGGAGGUUCUUCGGCCAAAGCCCCCCCCAUUCAUCGUGGGCGUGUGAGGCCCUUGGCCUUGACCUAAGGUGUUAAUUGUUUUGUAGGUGCAAUUUUGUCCAAUAAGAAAAAGGUGGAAAUUUGCAUCCACAUUUAUGUUUUAUUUAUUUAUUAUUAAACGUGGCUAUUUAAUGACAAAAUUAGUAUUCACUAAAUUAUUGUGCGCCAAUUGGAUGAAUAUAAUUUUUUGUUGUUGACGAAGAUGGAUAUAACCAUUAAUUGAUAGGAAAUCCGUUACCCGGUGGGUAUGGUUAUGGAUAAUUCCCGAUAGUUAUUUUGCAGUUAUGGAUAUGGUUAAUUAUCAUGGUUAUGGAAUAGAUAUAAGAUUUCCGUCCCCAAAUUGAACCGUUGCCAUCCCUAGCAUCAGUGCAGGUUUUCUGCUAUGGAGUUAAAAGGAAAAAAAAAAUCAUGUUGUUGAUUCUACACUUCUCUUCAAAUUUCAGUUCUCUUUGUCCUAAUCACCCAAAAGGUUACCUAUAAUUGGAAAGGUCUGCGAGUCCACUUUCUAACAGAACAGACAGUGCCUCAAUCAAAAUUUUUUUUGCAGCAAUUUGCUAGCAAAUAGUGUAAGGUGUAUGUUUUGUGCAAAAUCUGCAAGGCGCAGUUUCGUUUUCAACGAAGAGAUAUACCAGCAUCUUGUUCCAAUGAAUAAUAAUCAGGUAUAUGAAAACCACUCUAGUAUGAUAUUUAUCGAGGAAGAUCUGUUUUAUUCACAAAGAAUUGAUUGGAAUUUACCUCCACUAUAUGAUGAGUAUUCGGAGGAUGGUGUUUUGAUGAUUCCUAUCCAAACAGGUGCUAACGUUGAAGUGAAUGUUGAAGAACAUGCUUUGAUAGAUAUUUGCAGCUUGGAAAGUUCAGAAUAUGAAGGAUUUGGAUUUUUUCAAGAUGAGAAGAUUGAUAGUCCAAUGUUAAGUUCAUCAAUAAGCUACGGGCAUGUAAAAUUGUGGUCACGGCCAAGUGAUGAAGGAGCUGUUCAAAUUUGCUUUUUAAUUCUCCAGCACAUUGUUAAAGAUCAAGUUUUGGGGACAUUACAACCGAUGGCAUAUCGUUGGGAAGGUCGAAAACCUAAAUUCAAAUUAAGAUUAAAAAGAUACAAACUCGAGGACGAGUUUUUUUCGAGAAGAGUAGAAUCAUGCAGUGCAUGGGGAACAAAUAUAUUUAAGGCUUUAGUGACUUGUCAUCUCUCAAAACCUUUGUGACCUUAUCUUUUGAUUGAAUUGCCUAGUAACUAUCCUACUAUUAAAUAUUUUGUAUACCAAUGCUUUGUAAUUUCCCUAUUUAAAGGGCUCCAAAUGUAUCUUUAAGGUAGUCAAUUAGUGAAUUAAAAAUAAUCCAAGAAGAGAGAGAGUUUUCUCCUUCCUUAAAAUCCAGUGUGAGACUUGGUCGUAUCGAGAAGAAGAAAAUGAUGCAAUGCAUGGAGAACAAACACAUUUAAGGCUUCGUGGUUUCUCAUCUUCCAAAACUUUCUGUCACCUUCUCUUUUAUGAGUUGCCUGCCUAGUAACGAUCCUAUUAUUAAAUAUUUAAUCUACCAAUGCUUUGUAAUCUCCCUAUUUAAGGGCUCCAAAUGUAUCUUUAAGGUAGUCAAUUAGUGAAUUAAAACUAAUCCAAGAAGAGAGUGAGUUUUCUCAUUCCUUAAAAUCAAGUGUGAGACUUGGUCGUGUCGAGUGAAUCCACGGUUAGCGACAUGAGUAAUUAUGUUGCCCCUAGUCGAGUGAUUCCCAGGUUCUACCCAUAGAGAAGUCGAGUGAAUCCAUUGCCAUUGGUUAAGUGAUUUCCAGUUACCCCUUGUCUUUUCGAGACCCUUGGUCUUUUCUACGUCAAGUGGCAUCAUAGUAGGUUUUUCGCUGCAGUUAAAGAUCAUGGCUAUGAUUAUCAAUCCGUUUCAAGAUCACAUCGUUGAAGAGAUUAGUUUUGUCAAUUGAAAUUCUCCGCCAAUUUAUGACAAAUAUGUUGAUGACGAUGAGUUUACUGUUGAUGUGGCUCAUCAAGGAGUUUAUCUGCUGCUAGGAGAUGAAGGCUUUGUGGAUUGGGGUUAUCCACAUAAUAUGAGUACAAUGGCGGAAACAUUUUACAUGUAGCUUCAUAAAGAGGAACUAAGGUGUACUUGCUUUGGAAUAACAUGGAAGCGGAGUUCAAAGGAAUAUUUUGUGUGACAGAACAACUUGGACUGCUCUGGAUUUGCUUUUGCUAUUGUGGCUGUUGUGGAAAAAAAUUGAAAGGUAUCCAAAAGAUCGAGGAAAACAAAAUCAAAGGAAACUCGAGGACGAGUUUUUGUUCGAGAAGAGGAAAAUGAUGCAGUGCAUGGAGAACAAAUAUAUUUAAGGUUUUCGUGGCUUCUCAUCUCCCAAAACCUUUGUGACCCUCCCUUUUAAUUGAAUUGCCUAAGUAACUAUCCUACUCUUAAAUAUUUAGUAUACCAAUGCUUUGUAAUUUCCCUAUUUAAAGGGCUCCAUAUGUAUCCUUAAAGUAGUGAAAUUAGUGAAUUAAAGUUAAUCUAAGAAGAGAGUGAGUUUUUUCCUCCUUAAAAUCAAGUGUGAGACUUGGUUGUGUCGGAUGAAUACACGAUGAACGACGUGAGUGAAUUCGUUGCCCCUAGUCGAGUGAUUCCCAAGUUUUAUUCCCAUAGAGACGUAAGUGAUUCCGUCCCCUCUGGAUGAAUGAUUCUCAGAUUACUACCCCUUUAUCUUUUCGAGACCCUUGGUCUUUUUGCAUCAUGGACCCCAAGUUAUAAUAUUCCUAAAAUAGUCAUUCCAAUUUGUCUUGUCAAUCACAAUUAAUUUGUUGAGCUAAUUUUGUUGUGUACGUGUAAAAUAAGCCAAUCAGUGUCCUUUUUAUAUCUAAAAAAUUGUAUAAUCCUACAGAGAAUAUUUAUAUUAGGCCUCAGCAAUUGAUAUAAAAGGCAACCUGUAUGAACACAUUCUUAGAGUCAAUAAUAGCAGAGCUUCUUAGAGGGGAAAGUAGAUAGGUUGUAAAACAAUGUCCUGGUUUCUUACAGUCAUCUUUCUGGUCACUACUCUUACAUUUCAUACUCCUUCAGAGGCUAUCUAUGAGGAGAUUCCAGCCUUCUGCAGUAGUUGUGGGAACUGUCUACUGUGACACAUGUUUCCAAGAGGAUUUCUCAAAUACCAGCCAUUUCAUUUCAGGUAAAUUCAUCUCAAAUUUUCAACAAGUUCUUCAUCAAGUUUUAUUUUUCUAUUGUAGCCAGUUCAAUAAUUUCCAUACACCCCUUCUCUUCUUCUAUACACACUCAUGUUUAUAUUUUAAUCAUUAAAUUUGAAUAAAUCAGAGAAAAAUUAAAAGAAGGAAAUAAACAAAAGUGUACAAAUGGAGAAAAUGUAAAAUCUAAAUUGACUGAAAACCUUUAUACAGGUAUUUCCUACGAGUCAACCAUACAACUACGAAAAAUUAAUUAACACAAAUCAACAGCAAAAAAAAUCUCACUUAAACUAAUUCCUUGACGGUAGGAUUCUGCUUUCAAUCACGAUUUCUUUCCAACAGACAACAAAACGUUGGAAGUUAUGUCAUCGUAACUUGUCAUUUUAUUGUCAGUCAACAAAACUUCCUGACAUGAUAUGGAUGCAUUAUCCAUCAAUAAUCUUGUGGGGGUUUUUGUGCAGGGGCUUCUGUUGGUGUGGAAUGCAAAGAUGGGACUUUAACAAAACAAAGUUUCAACGCACAAGUGAAAACAAACAGCCAUGGGCAGUUCAAAGUCCAUCUGCCCUUCUCAGUGAGCAAAGAUGUCAAGAAAAUUGAAGGAUGCUCCGUGAAACUAAUCCGCAGCAGUGAACCCUACUGUGCUGUGGCCUCAUCAGCCACCUCAUCUUCCCUACACCUCAAGGCAACAAAACAAGGGACUUACAUAUUCUCUGCUGGUUUCUUCACCUUCAAGCCUCUCAAGCAACCCAGCUUAUGCAACCAGAAACCCAACAUUCAGAAUUCCAAGAAAUUAAAUUCCCAGAAGUUCUCAGAGAUGGCAUUCCCAUCCUCCUCUCAGGUGGACCCCAAAAUGCCUGAUCCCUCUCUCAACCAAUCUGAUCUCCUAGGUCUCCCAGGUCUCCCAGGUCUCCCAGGUCUCCCAGGACUCCCAGGUCUCCCAGGUCUCCCAGGACUCCCAGGACUCCCAGGACUCCCAGGUCUCCCAGGCCUCCCAGGACUUCCAGGCCUGCCCCUUGCUGCUGAAAAAACUUCAUCCAAGUCCUCCAACUCCAAAACUUCAAGGAAUGGGCAACUAGGUGAUAAUAAAGAAGUCAGCCCAUCCAGAUUCUCCACCAGCAGGUUCAGCACCAUGAUUCCCAACCUACCACCUAUCCUGAUUUCUGUUGGGUUCCUAUCCUAUUGGGCGUAACCCGUUUAAGUAGAAUAAGCCCAUUUAGGUCUUCUGAGUUGUGGUUUCCUGAAGUUCUAUGUAUUUAGGUCUCUUCCUUCUCUUUCGAGAAUUAUGUGAAAUAUUGAAUGUUUAAGUUUUAUCUGCUUUUCCCAUUUUCUCUCUACUUUUCCCUCUUUCUUCUCUAACGAGAAUGUGUCGUUCAUAGACAGCUACAAGUACGGUAAUAUAAUACGAUUCAAUUAUUAGUUAAAUACAAUGAUUAUAUCGUUGAAACUUAAAAUUUCAAGAUAAGAGAUUCAAAGAUAAUAUAAUAUAUAUAUAUAUAUAUAUAUAUAUAUAUAUAUAUAUAAUAUUAUAUAUAUCAAUUAUUGUUGAAUCUUACCCAAGGAUGAAAAAGGGUAUGGGUAUUCUUUGCAGGGGUGGAAAAACAGAAGUGGGUCGGCCAUGCUUUUACUAUGUGGGCCCCUUAGAGAAAACCUGCUAAAAAUGAACCGUUUCAACAGAAGGAGGCAAAUAGCUGUACGGAACGACGACGUCCCUGAAUUAAGGUCAUCUUCUUCGAGUGCGGACGAGCCGUAUCACAUACCUUUCCUGUUUCCAUCGAGUUUGAUCUACUUCAACUUCUGUUUCGACAGAGUAGCAGGGUAAUGAUUUUGGGAAAAAAAUUUAAGGUUAGGGUUUUGGAGAAUAAUUUUGUGACUAGGGUUUUAGGGUUUUGGAUUGUUUUCACAAAAUCAUUCUCCACUGGUGAAAUAAAUCACCAUAAUAAUAGCAGUAGGCUAUGAUUUUAACUUAAUCAGUACCCAAAUGUAAAAUUUUAUGCUUAUUUCCGCAAAUACUAUUAACAAUUUAACAUGGAGUUUUAAUUUUUUAUGAAAUUUUUGUAGUUGAUUGGGUUUGUAUGAUGAAUAUUAGUGUUUUGAGCCACACUUGUUAGUCCAACUUCAAGCAAAUUUGCAAUCAGCAAGUCCAUUCUCUCUAGCUGCGACCUUCCUUGCAAAGGGAGGAAUCUUAACAGAGUCUUCAACCCUUCCCCAAAAGCUAUGAAUAAAGUCUUUAGCGACGACGGUCCAAUUAAGCACUCUAACUUUGGCCUUAUUGGUAUCGGAACGGGCCUCCCUGGAUCAGUGACAGCCGCCGCAGCUUCUACUGCCGUAAAAACUGUUCUUCACGUACCUUGACACUAACCACUUUUAUGGUGACUACUGCGCCUUUCUUCCCAUUGAUGAUUUGACUGUCUACCUAAAUUCUCAUGCUUCCCAACCCUCCGCCACUACUACCACCAAUUUCACCUCUACAAGUACAAGCCAUGAUGAUUGCAUCGCCUUACCCCUCACCCGCCAGUUGCUGUACGCCGAUACAGAGACCGUUACAUAUGCCCCUUAAGUCCUUGCACAAUAUAAUAGAAGCAAACCUCGGUCAAAUAAUAUAAACUUGAACUCCAUUUUGAGCAUUGUGAGAUAAGGGAAUGUGCUAGAAACUAUUAUGUUAAAUUCAUUCUUAUUAAACCUUUCAAAUAUGUGAUGUUUAUUAAUAAGCAUUUUAGGAAUAUCUAUGACUAUGUUUUUAGAUUGUUUGUACCAUACUUGACCAAUCCCGACACUACUAAGCACCGGUCAACGUUAUACCGUCAAGGACCUAGAAGAGUUUCCCUCCAACCAGGAGGCCAAUCACAGCGCGACACGUGUUGACAUCAGAAGCCAAUCAUAGCGCGACACGUGUCAACAUAAGAAGCCAAUCACAACACGACACGUGUUAAUGUCAGAAUGAAACUAGAAACUCUCUUCUAUAAAUAGAGAUCAUUCUCUCACAAUAUUUCCUAAUGUCAUUUGUACUAAAUCAUUCACUAGUACUCACUAAAGGAGAGCUUGAACCUAUGUACUUGUGUAAACCCUUCACAAUUAAUGAGAACUCAUCUACUCCGUGGACGUAGCCAAUCUGGGUGAACCACGUACAUCUUGUGUUUGCUUUCCUGUCUCUAUCCAUUUACAUACUUAUCCACACUAGUGACUGGAGCAAUCUAGCAAAGGCCACAAACUUAACACUUUCUGUUGUACCAAAGUCCUCACCGAUUUUGUGCAUCAACAUUUGGCGCCGUCUGUGGGAACGACACUUAUUCUCACUCUCUUCAGCUUUGUUAAGCUGGUUUCCACCAUUUGUACACUCUCUUUUGACCAGGCAUCCCUCUCCAACAUGGGGAGCGACGGAAGCCACAACACACAGAAUGACACCCUUCUUGCACCUAGUGUGAAGCAACGAAAGAAGGAAGGAAAGAGGGUUGCUUUUCAAGCUAAAGUCGAUGAGCUAGAAUCUUAAAACAACAAGAUAGCAAUGAAGAAUGAGGUCCUCCAAGAGCAGUAUGAGAAGCUCUUUAAGAUGCUCCACGAAACUAGGCGUACUCAAACACGCGAACUCGUUACCCCUGUGGACAUCAACCAUCAUCUGGAUACCUCCCAACAAGGAGGGUCACCUUCCUUCGACAUGGGUAUCCCUGAUGAGGAGCGAGCUAAUCAUCAAAACAUUGAUCAACAUGAGACUUCUUUCAACUCAGAUGCUUCGACCCGAAACAGGAGAAGUGGAGGAAGACACCUUUUUGCAGAAAGGUUGGAAGGAUCGAAAUCCAUUUAUCAUGACUGCCGAGACUUCCUAAAGCAACGUCAAGAGAAUCUCCUCCACAUAAGCUCGAAGAUCAAUGACCCAAGGGUUUCUGAAAGACUUGGUCCCCUCCCACGUCCCAGGCCGGCUACCAAUUUGGGGAAAGGGCAACAAGUCCUAGAGAAACACGAAGGUAUAGGGGGCUCAGAGAUGUUUCGACAGACAUACCUUGAAAGUCAGUACGGCGAGUCCAAGGAAAAAUCACAUGCUCUUGAUCAAACCUUCAUACUUCCAAGAGGAGAUGAACAUUUACGAAAGAAAGCUCAAGUGGUACAUGACUCCACUCAAGACCUUCUUGUCAUACAGCUUCUUAAGGAAGUAAACAAGUUGAAGGCCGAACGACAAGCUGAGAUACCUGAUUGGAACCAACCUAGGCCUGGCCCUCUUACAAGGAGGAUCCUCGACACCCCCUCCAAACAAAGACAAAGCAGAAGCUUGGCUUGCAACUCUAUACUGGAAAAGAGGACCCGAUUGAACACCUUAACCUCUUUGAGUCCACCAUGGCAUACCGGAUGCAUACCAACGAAGAGCGAUGUCUUCUCUUCCCCUCCACCCUCUCUGGCGGAGCUCUAAACUGGUAUUGUCGUCUUCCACCUGAGACGGUAGACUCAUUUGAGGAAUUGAGGAAACUGUUUGUUUCUCAACACAUUUUUCAGACUGAUCGCUUACAUUUUGCAGAUGACUUGUACACUAUUCGCCAGAAGCCGGACGAGUCACUACGAGAGUAUGCCAAUCGCUUUAGCCAUGAGUAUUCUCGAUGCGCUGAGGUAGAUGACAAGAUCGCCCUCAAGGUCUUCACGGCAAGCCUUCGUGAUUGUUUCUUCAAGUACAUGAUCAAUGCCAACACUUGGAAGACUUACUCUGAGGUGAUGGCAUAGGCUUACAACCAUGCAUCCGCCGAGGCAAGGACAUAUCAAGGGAAACCCCCCACAGCCACCCCUUAUCAGCAAGUAGGGAGUGGAAGCCAGAUCCAACCAAAUGAGAAGACCUCGACCUUCCAAACAGCAGCGGUGCCUCCCUCUGCCUUACUUAAUAUUUUGCCAAGUCAACAGACAUAUCAAUCUCAGGGCAAAAGGAAAGAUUUCUAUCCUCACCAGUCUCAUUUUAGUAAAAUGAGUAAGGGACACUACCGCGAUAACCAAGGGUAUCACCACGAUAAUCCCCGACCCCAGGCAGUCAACACAGUGGGUCAAGCACGUGUCCGGAUAGCCCAUACCCCGAGGUAUGAGGCAUACACACCUUUGAACGCCACAUGCGUGGCCAUUUACCCCAGCAUAGCACACCUGAUACCGAAGCCAAAGCCGAGGCACCUGGAUUACAAGUCCACGAAGAACACAGGCACAUUUUGUUGCUACCACGAGUAUAACGGCCAUGACGGUGAAAAGUGUAUCACCCUUCGAGAUCAUAUUGAAGCUUUGGCAUGUGAAGGAAAAAUUGAUCAAUUCCUCAUUCACUCUUCAAGGGGUAACCGUAACCAACCCCAGGUGAAUGUGAUAUAUUCCAUAAGUGGUGACACACCCAUAUCUAAAUCUUCCAACAGGGCCAUGAAAAAUAGUGAACGAGCUUUAAGGUAUGGCCACCAAGUGUUUCACGUGGAAGACAUUAGGGGAGGCAAGCAUCAAAAGCCUAACUGGGAUCUAAUAUGUUUCUACCUUGAGGAAGAAAGAGGUAUCAUCUACCCUCACCACGACCCAUUGAUCGUGGAAGCUCACAUAACCAACUUUAAAGUACGACGAAUCCUAGUAGACACGGGGGCUUCGGUCAAUAUCAUGUUUGCCGAAGUUUUCAGGGCACUUAAUGUAGCUGAACACUUGCUCGAUCGCUCGAUUUCCCUUCUGAUAAGCUUCUCCGGUGAUAUCGUGCAACCUUUAGGGAGCAUACACUUACCUUUCACCAUUGGUACAUACCUUUACACAUCUACCAUUACCACUAACUUCCUGGUGGUUGAUUGCCCAACGACAUACAAUGUCAUCUUGGGACGCACAUGCAUCAAUGAUCUCAAGGCCAUGGUAUCCAUAUAUAUGUUGUUGAUAAAAUUUCCAACCCACUAUGGCAAUGGUUACAUCAGAGGAGAUCAACUUAGUUCACGAUCAUGUUACAACACUUCGGUCAAGCAACAACACCUGCAUGUGCCCAAGGAAACCCUUUCUAUACAUGACCAAGUCAUAAAAACCAGCCCAGACGAAGCCAACUUGGAUCUUCACGGUGGCAACAGUCAACCCGAUGAUCCUCGAGAUGACUUUUUUACCCAGCAAGCACAACCCACUGAAGAGUUGGAGAAGGUCUCUAUAUUAAAAGAUUAUCCGGAUCGCAUGGUGAAGAUUGGCACCACCUUGUCACUACCCAUUCGGUUGGCAUUGAUCUCUUUUUUGCAAGAGAACACUGAGGUUUUCGCCUGGUCAUACGAGGACAUGCCAAGCGUCUCUCCCGAUAUCAUUUGUCAUCGCUUAAGUAUUGACCCCAAAACCAAGCCAGUGAGACAGAAGCGAAGAUCCUAUGACGUUGAAUUUGUAGGAGACAAUGAAGGCAGAAGUUGAAAAAGUCAAAGGCAUAGGCUUCGUCCGCGAAGUCAAUUAUCCAAUGUGGGUAGCAAAUGUUGUCCUUGUUAAGAAGAAUCCGACCAAGGAAAGUCUCCUACUCCAAAAGGUCUUGUGGAGAAUGUGUGUCGAUUACACCGACCUAAACAAAGGAUGCCCGAAUGAUAGCUUUCCUCUUCCUCUCAUAAAUAUACUUAUAGACUCUACAACAGGGUGUGAACUCCUGAGCUUCAUGGAUGCUUACUCAGGAUACAACCAAAUCCUUAUGAACCCUCUGAACCAAGAACACACAACCUUCACUACUGACAGGGGACUAUAUUCACUAGUACAAAAACAUGUUUGCGCGACGAAAACUUACGCGACGCAUAAAAUUACGUCGCGCAAAGCCGUUUUGCACGACGUAGGUGUACGUACGUCGCGCAAAACGUCUUUGCGCGACGUAAUUUUACGCGAUGCUGUCCUUCGUCGCGUAAACUUUUGGUGCCAAACCAAAAGAAUUUACCGUUUUUUCCCAACUUUGUGCGACGCAUGCCCACUUACGUCGCGCAAAGUUGUUUUGCGCGACGUAGGUGGGGAUGCGUCGCGCAAAGUCAACAACUUUUUUUCUUUUCAUUUGAUCAGUUUGGGAGGCAGAAACUGCAUACCUAGCUGCAGCAACUACCUCCAUUGCCCAUCUCUCUCUUCAAAACCGUCUACCAGAUCAGGUUUGAAGUUUGAAUUGAUAUCAAUUCUUUGUAUUUUUUCGAUUGCAAUCCUUCCCCUUUGCUCUUAAACAUGAUGUAAACUGAAUUAAUAAUAUGUAGAUCCUUCAUGUGAUUCAUUUACGAAAUUGAAAUUGCAAAAUCAAAGGAGAUAACUAUCUUGCUGAUUUUCUUUUUCUCUAUACACCAGAUCUCUUCUUUCUGUAGCGACUUAUUUGUUCGUACAUAAAAGCAGAGGUGAUAAAUUAGUUGGGGAAGACAAAUAGGCUUAUAUCCAGGUGAGGAGGACCCUGAGCACAGCUUAAGAAAUUACUAGGAAUAGCAUUGUGAGGCCUAAAUGUCAAUUGGCCAGGACUCCAUACAUGCGCAAUUUUGGUCUUUAGUAAAAACAUCUAAAUGAUGAUGGGUAUGUCCUUGAUGAAGUACCCGGUUAGCUGUUUUUACGAAGGACAAAAUACCGUAUAUGUAUGGAUUCAAACGCCACCAUCAAAUGGAUAAGAAAUUAGCGUCCAAUCCAUCGAAGCAAUUCAUGAUGUCUCCAACAUGUUGGAAGAUUUAAUUGGCAAUGGGAAGUUAGACCCAUUGAGAUGACGAAGAUGGUUUUCUCACGACGUUAAGAGUAGAAGUGUCAUCUUGAGCUCCUAAUCAAUUGUUAUAUUCCUACUGUAUAUGGUUAAUUUAUGUCUCCACCACUCAUGUAUCAUUCUUUGCAUGCGAUCCAAAAAUAAGGAUUCAAUGACCAAAAAACAUGGUUGUUGCAAAUUCAUCCAAAUUCAUGGGAAAUAAAUUAUGCUUAUAUCUUUCUCAUGAUGUGUACAUAUUAUUGAAUUGAUCUAUUCAUUUGUCAAAAAAGUGAACUAGUCGUGUUUAAUUACAUCAAAUUUGUCAAGCUGAUGUUGCCUAGCUGGUAUUCGUGUCGCCUACUUGCCAAUACGUUGAAAAUACACUCACUACUUGCAUAGAAUUUCAUAAUUGUAGGUUGUAUUUGGCUUGGAGACAUUGUGUUUUUACUUUCUUUACCAUAUUUUGGUUCAGAAAACCAGCAGUUCCGAUGACUGGAGGAAAGUCACUCUUCAGCUGGUACUCACAUUAGUUACGCGAACAAGAGCUACUGCUUACGUAAGGUUAAUGAUGGUGCUUGUCUUACUAACAGUUUCACAAUAAGUGAAUCCGUGAUAGGUGACAUGGUUUUCUGAUAAGUUGCAGUCUUUUGGAUAUUAUGCAAGCUAUUGCAGAUAUGAAUGGUGCAGAUAUUCGUCUUACUCUUCAAUCAUUCAACAGCCACUGAGCACAGCUUAAGAAAUUACUAGGAACAAGAGCACGGCUUAGCGGCCUUCUUUUAGUGUAGAUAAUAUCAUUUGUUAGAGAAAUUUUUUAUAUAUAUAUAACAAGGAAGAAAAUGAAAGAGGACAAAUAAUAAGAGAGCAGACACACGAUCGCCUACAAACUUCCAUGUAAACCCAGCCUGCUUUAUUCGUUUUUUCAGACCGAUUAAACAAAGCACAGAACUUAUUCCUCCUUUUUUAAUCCCUUAUUAAUCCCAAGUCUAUGUCUUAAGACAUUCUUUAUCUUCAACUACUUGCAUGUUUGACAUAUCUUAAUAAUAUUUCGUGUGUAACAUUUAGCUCUGAGUACUUAUCAAACAGACAUUAAGAUGCUGCCAAUCCUCAGACUGCAGCCUAUCAUCAUUUGAACACUUGUUCAAGUUUACAGUUUUGAUCCCCUGUCAACACCUACUCCCUUCUUUGUUUUGAUCCAACACCUUAUUUCAAAUCUGCAAAUAGUCACUUGCUAAGAGAAUGAGCAAUGUAACUGUUGCAUUUAGAAGUCGGAUUGUGUCAGUCGAGUGUAAGCAGGCAAUGAGCCUUUUAGUAACGCCAUCUUCUUAUGUUCAUAGAAGUCAGCAGUCUGCAAGUUUAAGCACCUUGUUUGUACAGUUUUACGUUUGUGUACCUAGUUCCAUUCAUAAGUCAGAUUUUAUCAGUUGAUUGCAAAUGCAAUCAGCAAGCAGAAUAUGUCAAUGUAUUUAGUAACAAAUGUCUCAUGCUUAGUAAAUGACUUGCGUAUUAUCUUCGUAAAUUGGCUUUCAUAACUUGUAUAAGAUUAGCAGCAUCCAUAAAUUUCUGUAGGGAAAGUUUUGAAAUUGGAUUUGUGCAUGAUAUGGGAAUUUGUGAGGAUGUAUGUUUGCUCUUGUUGUCUGUGGUCCUCCCCUGCCUUUUUCUUUAGGUUUGGUUAAAGUCUAAGCUACAUCUCUUUCUUAUUAUAAGUCGCAUGCAGAGAGAGAAGAUGAUGACGAUGGUCCUGUAUGUAUAUAUAUAUAGCUACCUCUUCUUUAUUUUUAUGAUUAUAUGAUUACUAAUUAGUCAUUUUACGUUGAUCAUAUUGAUUAAUCUAGAAUGUUAAAUCUAGUAUAUUGUUCUUGCAGACUUGUAUUUUGAAGGUGAGCAUAUGUUGUUUAGGGGGUUCCAAGCUAUGGCCACCCCACUUCACUAAGCUGUGGCCUCCCAAGUUCAUAAAAACAAAGACGGCUAUUACAUGUUGCAAAGGAUGUGCUCACAAAAUCAAGAAGAAAUUGCAGAACUUAACGGUACAAAAUCAGUUUUUUACUUCCCUCUUGCAGUUGAUCAUCAAAUUAGGAAUAUCUGCACAGAUAAAACCGGUUAAAAAUUCUUAACAAAAAUUAAACUAGGAAACGAUUUUAUUAGAACUUUGUAAUUGGUUCUGUUUGUUCUUAUGGUAUUAGUUUGUUUCUUUUCACUUGUUACUGCCUUUUGUAAUCAACUUUUUCACUGUCAUUAUUUACUCUGAUUGGUGAUGACAGAGGCAUGGCUAUUGUAUCUCAUAUAAGAGGAGAACUAAUAAGGAGAACUAAGGACUAAAUUAAGAGAUAGAUACGUAAAGUGAAAUAAAGGGUGCAUAAAUCACUUUAUAUUAAAAUGAAGUCUAAGAGACAUUUAACUACAUUUGAGAUGUCACAGUGUACAUAAAUCACUUUAUUUUCUUCGCUAAAUUAAUUUUUAUUAAUUUUAUCUAUUUUAUUUAGUUUUAGUAAUUAUUGUGAUUUAGUUUAUUUGUAUGCACAUAUUUUUGUACAUCACCUACAAAAUUGUUUUGUGUUGUACUAAGUUAAUACUACUUAACUUCAUACCCUUUUCUCAGGAAAAGCUUAGUUUCCCGUUUGAGAAUUAGUUGGAUUUCGUGCAUGGAUGUGAAAGCAUGACUGCGGUCCAAUUAAUUAUUGAAUUGUCCCAUUUUUUGGACAGUUUGGGAAUGCCCUAGUUAUGUGUUGUAGUUUGCGGUCCACAGAUUAGCUUUCGAUAGUGGAAAUUUUGGUAACAUUUCCCGAUGUUCUUUGAGUACACGGUGGAUAUUAUGUAUCUACGACGUGCACUUGAAGAACUGUAAGGAGAUGCUGGGAAAUUAGCCCACGUCGAAAUUUAAUCCAUUGGAAUCGUAAAUUACGGCACAUAACUGUGCAUUCUUGAAUGGGAUAGGGCCCUGACCAGAGGAAUAAGGUGACAAGACAAUAGUUUUCAUGUCCUAAUCUGUCUCAUAAUUUGCUUCAAUUGUACUUAAUUCCAAUUUUUGAAUAAAAUGAAUGAAUGCCAGCAGCGGUGUAGAUUUUCAAUGGCAUCCAAUUUCAUAUAGUUUAAUUAGUUAUAUCUCCAUUUACCUAUAUACCUAUUCAUUCCAAUUUUAUAUGAUCGCUUGAUGCAAAACUUUUCUAGAUAUUAUUAGUUGUAGCAGUUGCAUCUCUUAAAGAUCUAUACAACUUAUUCUCACUGGUUCACGGUGGAUUUUGCAGUUACUUCUCGAGCGUGGGGAAGCACGAAGGGUUAUUCCUUGGUAACACAUUUAUAAGGAUUCCGUUGUAGACGUUGUUGUAAUUCUUGUACUUUUAUUCGGAUUGCAGACAAAAUGGACAAACAGUGGAUACAUAAUCAUAAUAGAUGUGUUGUUGAGUACUUGGAUGGAAUACAUGCGUUCAUUGAAUUCGCAACUAGACAUAACCUAGGUUCAACUCAUAUCCGAUGUCCAUGUAGGAGGUGUAACAACUCAACGUGGGAGACAUUCAAGAAUGUUUGAUUUCAUUUAGUAAGAAAUGGGAUGAUGGAGACCUAUACUACUUGGUGUCAUCAUGGAGAACGAUUAGACCAAGCUUCGUCUUCAUACGUGACACGAGUGGAAACUGUUGAAUCAAAUGUGGAUCCUAAUGAACAAGUUAUGAAUAUUCUAAAUGACGUUUAUUCAUACGCCUCGAGCAACACCAAUCAGGAAGAGGGAGAAGAGGGAGAUGACGGCCGUCCAACCAUGGACAGUGAGGCAUUCAAAAACUACGAAAAACUAUUGAAAAAUGCCAAGCAAGAAUUAUAUCCAGGUUGUGAGAACUUUUCAAUGCUCACAACAAUUGUGGAGUUGAUGCAUGGCAAGAUCAAGUUUCGUUUGUCAAACAAGUGUUUUGAUUACUUUUUGGGAGUUAUCAAAAGGAUGGUUCCAAAGGAGAAUUGUUUACCUAAAGAUCAUAAAAGUGCCCAAAAAGUGUUGAAGGGUCUCGGAUUGGGGUAUGAAAAAAUUCAUGCAUGUGUAAAUAAUUGUAUAUUGUUCUAUAAGGAGAACAAAGCAUUGGAUAAAUGCCCUGUCUGCAAUGAGCCGAGGUUUAAAAUGACAUCACAGAAUAGAAACACCAAGAUUCCACAAAAAGUAAUGCGCUAUCUUCCAUUGAAGCCUAGGUUGCAGCGAUUGUACAUGUCGAUGCAUACCGCAACCGACAUGAGAUGGCAUAAAGAAGGAUGGGUAAAUGACGAUGUUAUGAGGCAUCAUGCAUAUGGAGAGGCAUGGAAAGAAUUCGAUCGGAUGUACCCUGAUUUUGCAGCUGACCCGCGCAACGUCAGAUUGGGACUUGCCACCGAUGGAUUUAAUCUGUUCGGGGUUUUAAACCUAAUGCACAACACUUGGCCGGUCAUCGUGUUUCCUUAUAAUUUGCCACCUUGGAAGUGCAUGAAAAAAGAAUACAUGAUGUUAAUUCUAUUAAUUAACAAAGAUCCAGGAAAGUCCAUUGAUGUUUAUUUGCGGCCGUUGGUUGAUGAGCUAAAAGAUUUAUGGGAAAACGAUGUUUGUACAUACGAUAAAUAUACUGGGCAGAUGUUCACCAUGCGAGCGGCAGUGAUGUGGACAAUAAAUGAUUUUCCCGCUUAUGCAAUGGUUUCUAGAUAGAUGACUAAGGGUUAUUUGGCAUGUCCAAUAUGCAAGGAGAACGUAACAUCAUCUUGGCAUGCAAGAAAAGUUUGUUAUCUUGGUCAUCGUAGAUGGCUCCCUUGGGACAACGAGUGGCGUCAGAAUGAUAAAUCCUUCGACAGCACAAAAGAAACUCGGCCAAGACCAAGAGAAUAAUCCAGAGAUGAGAUUUUGGAUCAGUUAAACCGUUUGGAAUUUGGUCAUUUCGGCAAAGGGGUCAGUAACCCCAAACCAACUACACAUCUGAACUGGACACACAAGAGUAUGUUAUUUGAGCUUCUGUAUUGGUCAAAGUUAAAAUUGAGACGCAACCUCGAUGUUAUGCAUAUUGAGAAAAAUGUGUUUGACACUUUGAUCGGGACAAUUCUAGACAUUGAAAGAAAAACAAAAGACACGAUCGAAGCUCGCCUCGAUUUGGAACGAAUGGGUAUUAGGUCAUCCUUGUGGAUGAAGAAUGUCGGUGGUACAUUGAAGAAAGGCCAUCCCUUUUUUACAUUUAAGCCGAAUGGGAAAAAAGAGUUUUUCAACUUUAUUUCUUCUGUAAAGUUUCCAGAUGGGUAUGCUUCCAAUAUCUCGCGUUGUGUGAACGUGAAGGGGUGUAAAUUUCAAAACAUGAAGAGUCAUGAAUGUCAUGUGAUACUCCAACGCCUUCUUCCAGUUGGUAUUCGACACUUAUUGCCUCUUGAUGUGGUGAAACCAAUCGUGUUGUUGUCGAGAUUUUUUUCGCAGUUGACUGCAAGGUGUUUGUGGAAGUCAGAUGUUAAACAAUUGCAGGACGACAUAGUGAACGUCUUAUGCAAGUUCGAACAGAUAUUUCCCCCAGCUUUCUUUACAAGUAUGAUUCACGUGAUGAUUCACUUGCCAGAUGAGGCAUUGCUUGCCGGACCAGUGAACUGUCGAUGGAUGUAUCCAAUAGAAAGGUACUUAAUUAAGCGUCUAUAUAUAUAUAUAUAUAUAUAUAUAUAUAUAUAUAUAUAUAUAUAUAUAUAUAUAUAACAUAUUCAUGAUCAACGAACGCUUUGAAUAAUUUGUAGCAUACCUUUUAUUUGUGCAUAUAUCUUGGUGAGUUGAAAACUUGUGUUCGAAACAAGGCAAAGCCCGAAGGAUCACUUGUGGAUGCAUGGGUCACAUAUGAGUCACUUACUUUUUGUGCAAUGUAUCUUGAAGAUGUUGAGACAGCUUUCAAUCGUCCAGAACACAAUAAUGAUGGUGGUGUCAGAAAAGAGAAACUGUCUAUUUUUCCCCAAAUUGCACGACCAUUCGGCGAUCCUGUAAAAGACGAAUCGUUUACCAAAAAGGACAUGGAGGUAGCGCAUUGGUUCAUACUCAACAAUUGUGACGAGGCUUUGCCAUACCUUGAAGAGCAUGAACAAUUGAUGAAGCGGGAACAUCCUUCACAUUUAUAUGCCAAGAAGCACCGUGACUUGUUUCCUUCGUGGUUUCAUGCACAUGUAAGUUGUAUGUGGUUUGAAUUGAGCAUAUUUUCCAACUUGUUCAUGCCCGUCUUUAAAUUUGGUUAUACUAACAAGUUAAUUUUUUGUAUAUGUUAUAUUAGAUGAACAAAUUGAAGGAAUUGAAUUCACCCUCUUACGAUGAAGAAUUAUAUAACUUGGCGAGAUGACCGCUUCACGUUGAAUUGUUCUCAGGUUGUCAUGUCAACGGGAUCAAGUUCUUGGGGGAAACACGUGAUGACAAGUUGUCUACUUAAAAUAGUGGUGUCCAUGUCCCAGGUGCGGGUGAUAGUGAAGACAUUGAUUUUUUUGGCAAACUAACUAGUGUAGUACAAUUGCUUUACAAAGAUAGGUGUCAAGUGAUAUUGUUUAAGUGUCUUUGGUUUGAUACAAACCCACAUAACCGAACGAGUGUUAAGCGAGACCAUGGUUUACUAUCAGUAAACAUUAUGAGACAUUGGUACGAUGAAGACCCAUACAUUUUGGCAACAAUGGCAAAACAAAUAUUCUAUCUAGACGACCCUAAAGCUGGCAAUGGUUGGAAAGUUGUUCAAAAGAUUGAUCGAAGAGGGCUAUAUGAUAUUCCAUAACAAGAUCAUGAUGACAAUUACGAUAACGUCGCUGACCAACAGUUAUCAUCUUCGAUAGAAAUUGGUGAAGAAACACUCCGGGAUACUAAUAUUGUCCAAGAACCGUUUGACGUAGUUGGAUUUCCUGAAUUCGAAAUAUCAAUUGACCUUGGUGAUCUACCUCAAUACAAUGCAUCGGAAGAGGAAAACGAAGAUGAAGACAAAUGGGAAUCCGGAAAUGAUAGUAGUGAGGAUAGCGAGAGUAAUUAUUGUAGUUCAGAUGAUGAUUAAUAUAAACUUGUAAAGAAAAAUCGUGCUUUUUCGUUUAUAACCGUCAAAAAGUUUUGUCCCUUUACAUAAUCUCUGAAUGUUUGUUUUUUGCAAUUUUUGGCGUCUGCGAUCUCGAAGCAUAUACAAACAAGUUUGACGGUUGGAUAGUUGAAAUUAGUUUUGUACAAUGCGUUUCCCAUCAAGUUCAAUGGUAUAUAUAUUUACUAAGUUGAUUUUAAUUUAUUUAUUUUGUACUUAUAACACUUAAGAAAUUUAAUGAUAUAUAUGUAAAAAAAAAAUUAUUGUGAGUUUUUGUUAGAAAAAUAUAUUAUUGUGGGGUUUAUGUAAAAUAAAUUUGAAUUUGAAAGAAGUAAAAUCACAUUUUUAGUAAUUUUUAUAAUAUUUAAAAAAAAAUAAAAUAAAAAAACCUUGCGCAACGUCUUAAUGUAGUCGUUGAGCAAAACUACUUUGCGUGACGUCAAUUUGUAUACCUACGUCGCGUCAUGUGAUAAUUUUGGCGCUCUAAUAGUGAAAAAUAGGCGUUUGUUUUCAAUUUUCCAAGUUUGGCAAACUUUUGAACCCCAUAGAUCUCUCUCUUCCCGUAUACCUCUCUCUUCCCACUCGCUCUUUCUUUCCCGCACGUAGACAUGCAUCUCUCCCUCUCGCUCUUUCUUUCCUGUACGUAGACCUGCAUCUCUCCCUCUUUCUCUCUCUUUCCCGUAGACCUCUCUCUCCUCUUCGCAACCUUCAACCCCCAAAUCUCAAAGCCGACGCGACGUAGGUUCCCAAAAUCAAGGUAAGGGUUUCUCAUUUUCGAUGGGUUUUUGUUAUUUAGGGUUUAGGGUCAAAUUGCAUGUUGAUUUCUGAGUACUUUGUCGAAAUCUCCAGAUAAAAUUGGAUGUUGGUUCUGAUUUGAUAGGGUUUCAGAUUUGUGAUGGUUUGAGGUUAUGUGGGUCUGUUGAUUUUGUUCAGUUGAUAGGGUUUGAGGUUCUGAUUUAGCACAGUGGUGGGUUUUCUCGAAGAACCUUAAAAGCAUGAAUCCUUACUCUGUCGUCCCUGGUACAAAAUUUCAACUUAUUUUUGUAUAUUUCUGAACCAAAUAUAUAUAUAUAUAUAGCAUCUUGAUCUUCUUCUUCACAGGGCAUGUUCAUCGGCUGUGAGGUGGUGGUUAUCUGUCAGUCUCCUGGUGAAAUUCUCAAUCUUUCUCUCUUAAUUAAGUGUUAAUCAUAGCUUUUAAACUGUUUUUCUUUCACUCAUCAGUCAUCACAUCCACACUCAGCUCAUCCUUCUCCAAAUUAAACUCAUUUUCUGGGUUUUUUUUUCUUUCAAAAGGGAAAUCUCAGUCACAAGGACAUGUAAAGUUCAUUACCCGUAAAUUUCAUUUGGUUUUUGUUACAAAUGGAACAGGAAUGGCUUACUUGCAAUUUAGGACUUGUAAUUUGAUAAUAAUAAAAGAAGGACGUCUGUUUAUUGAGAGAUGCCUAGGACUGGUUUGAUGUUUGUCAACGAAAGUAAGCUUUGAAUUUCAGUAGGCGGUGCUACCAAGCUUCGAACUUAAUUUGACCUACCACCAUUUGUUUUACUUCGAAUUAAAACAUGGAGAGAUCCUGCUAUAGAUUUGUAAAUAUUAUGCUAGCAAAGUCUUUUGAGCAUUAUGAUUUUCUUGUCCUGUAGCAGCAUAAUAAUGCUCAUAUAUGAUGCUAACUGUUACAUCCCAGACUCAAUCGUCAGUUAAUUAUAUUAUGAGUGAGUUCGGGAAUAACAUGAACCUAAUAGGUAAAUACCUCAGAAAUUUUCCUUUUGCUUAUUUAAUUGGCAUUGACUUGCAUAUAGUAUUCAUGCAUGUUAGAUGUAUUCUGGAAUAUCUUGUUCUUUUAAAUAGUUGUUGUGAAAAACCUGUAUUCUUGUUCUGAAGAAUGAGCCCUGCAUAUGGCUUUUCCAGAUUUGUAGGAAGUGUUAACUUUUCACAGGGGAUUGAAACUAGAAAACAUUUGAUGCACAUACUUAUAUAUGAUAUGCCUGAUUGCUUAACCCACUGCCUCAAGCUAUUACGGUAUUACCUUAGAUGAGAAUUUUACUUGAAUAGACUUAAGCAGUGCAGGACCCGACCAUUUAAAUACUGUACUUUUGAGCAGUUGCAUUAUAACCCACAUAUCCCAUGUAAAGUUUAUUCUAAACCUUUCAUGAGGUGGAACAAAUUAGUGAAAAAAUCUAUCAUUUUUGCUCACAAAAUACACAUACUGCCACAGUUUAACUAAUUUGAUCCUUAUAUAGUGAUUCUCUUUUAGGGUUUGUUCAGAUGCAAGAAAGGAUUAGUUUAAAUAUUCUUGUAUUGAUAUUAUUGCUCUAAUUACUUAUAUUACUUUGGUUGCUAUUUUAUUAGUUUCAAAUGCAAGAAAUGAUUAGUUUCUAAUGUUAUAUUUGUAUGGUUCAUAAAGUGUAUAGAUGUCGCAGUUGAUCACUCGUCGUCGGAGUGUGUCCAAUGCAGCUCCUGCAUUAUCAGCAUCUAGUGCUCCAGGUGUGAGUGCUCCAAGCGUGAGUGCUCCAUUGAUUGGGGAGCCUACACCCCUUACGGAGGCUACUCCUACGACGUCCCAGGUGCCCGUAUCAUCAACGUCAUCAGUGUCAGUUCAACCCCUCAGUGCACGGCGGCCUCCCUAGCGCCGCCGCGAGCCGGAGCCUUCUGAUCACACUUCCUUGUCCUCCAGAGUCGAGGAUGGGGCCUCCCAACCAGGUAGUUUUUUUUCUAAUUCUCACUACGUUGCAUUUUUUUUUCAUUUCAAAACUAUUACUUUUAUGAUUGUGAAAAUGUGUUGCGGGUUGUGAAUUACUGUUUUAAGGUACUUUUAUGAUUAGGGGAGGUUUUGCCGAAUUUUUUGUACAAAUUUAAGCUUAGGGUUUUUACCAUUAAAGUUUUUUUGGGUAGCUAAAAAAAAACACCAAGGGGCCCAAUCGAAUGUUGAAGGAGCUACAGCUUGUACGUAUGUCUGCCUCCUUGAUCAAGAUUGCGUAUGAUGAGCGACAUUGUGGAGCGGUUACCUCACAGCAGCAUAACAGCGUCGUUAAUUGCUGUGGUUUUAUUAUUAGGAAUUUUUGUCCUAUGCGGUGGGAGAGUUGGGCAAAAAUUCCCGAUGAGACGAGGACCCUGGUGCGAGAUAAUUUGGAGGUUAGUAAAUUAAUUUUUAGCAAAGUCAACAUCUUUCUCUGCUUAAACUAUUGCAGGGCCAUCAUCUUGAUUAAUAAAGUCAAGAUCUUUCUCUCAAUUUCUGUUUGGUUGCUAAGAAAAUGUAGGGGGGAAAGAGAAAUCAGGUGCAUUUCAUUGUUUUGCACCUGAUAGCCGAGUGUUGUUGUGGUGAAUAAUUUGGUCAUGUAUUUUGCACACUCUUCUUCUAUUCAUAAUUGGGAGCAGGUGUGGUCCUUUAGUUUUGGUUAAUUUCAGUGAUUUGCGGCACUGUUCUUUGUUGUCUGAAUGCUUCAUGGGAAGGAAAUUGAAAAAUAAUUCCGUGAACCAAUGUUAAAAUAAUGAUUAUGUUGGUUAGGUGGAAGGAUUACUAUCUUAUCUGAUGCAUAUUUAUGGGUUUUUAGUUUUGGUCUACGUCCUUGCUUAAUGAUUUAUGAUAGUGUUUAAGUGAGUAUGCAUGCCGUCUCUAGUACAUUGCUUUGCUUGUGUUGUGCAUCAGUUAACCUGAUCCAUAGUAUCCACUGGUUGAGCAACAUCGUGAUACCUAAACAUUAUGCCUAUACAUGCUGUUUUGUUUUAAUCAUUAAGUGCUUCUUGGGACUGGCUAUACUAAUCAAAUAAUCUAUCUUUUACCGAGCGAGUCCUAUGUAUGGUUCUUGACUUUGCCUCAAUUUGAUAGUGAAUUGUUUUUAGUUGUUGUCCUGGUUUUAUUUAUUAAAGUGAACUACGAAAGCAGCCUUAAAUAGUCGAGUUAAAUCCUUUGUUGAGAAAUUGUGCUAAGGAAAGGAAUUUGAUAAAUAAUUUGAGUGUUAACCUUAUGGUUUGAACAUUAAAGGUUUGACACUUGCGUGAAGCUGAGGUUUGACACUACUUUCCGAACUAGUAUGAAUGAUCCUAUAUAUAAAAAUUGUUUAUAAUUUUGUAAGCUUCCUGUAUAUUACUGUAACCACUUUCUACACAUUUACUUACCUUCUUAUGAAGUUUUUCUUCGAAUCUGCUAAUAUUUGUUGGGUCAUUUAGAAAUGACAUGCUUACUACAUGCUAUUCUUAGUGGGUUGCAGUUGGACAAGAGUCUCAUAAACAUGUUACACAAUUUGAUUUCUGUAGUUGCAGCAGCAUAAUUUUCAUUCUGUCAGUUUUACUACUUCUGGAUUGUAAGCACAACCAGUUUAAACAGGCAUGAUGUUGUAAAUUACUUUAACGAAGCUCACAUCUUAAGGGGUAAAUUGGUUUUUGGUUGUAAAAAUUAGAGCAUGUCCUUAGUAACAGCUAUUUGGAAGCCAACAUGAUUAACUGACUGUUAAAGUGGGAUAUGAAAUGCUUGUAUGCAAUAGGUUACCUUUAUGGAAUUGCAUUAAAUUGUACAUGCAUGACUUUUUUUUUCUUUUUGGGUAAAGUAUAUAUAAUAGUAGUUGGCUUACAUCCUAACAAAUCAUUUAACAUGCUACUGGAAUAGUUGAUCUUGAGUUACAGUCAGUGCAGUUACAACCUCUCUAUAAAAUGUUGAAUUUCCACCUUUGGUCUCUGUACCGGUGGAAAGAGGCUCACAUGGGAGAUCAAAACCCCACUCUUGAGAUCUUUCAUAAUAUAAACAUUAUAUUGUUUGCUUCCUAACAAAUUAAGAUUCUAGUUAUUAUUGUAAACCGACAAACUUUAUCAGUAUCUUAUAAACUAGUUGUCAAUUAUUCUGAUACAUGGUCAUUUUGUUUGUCAUUUUGUUUUUCAUAUUUGUAGGUCGUUUUUGAAAUGGAGGACAUAUCCCCUGAGGUCAGUGCCUACUUAGAGGAGACCUUUGCAAGCCGGUACAAAGAUUGGAAGAGCACUCUUCACAAGCAUUUUUAGCUAUGGGAAUCUCCGGAGAUUGCUCGCCUACAGGGUUGCCCACUCGAGUAUAAGGAGCGGCGAGAGGAUUGGGAGUGGCUCUGCACACAUUUUACGGAUCCAAAAUUUGUGGUAUGUACAUAAUACUUUAAUAAUAAUUUAUUGUUUUUGUUAUUUCAUUUAAGCUUUUUUUAAUAAUUUCUUUCAAAUAGUCGCACUAACAUGUAUAUUGUAUGUUUAACAGAAUAAAUCUGUUGUUGGCAAGAAAGCUCGGGACUCAAAGACACUUCUCCACCAUUCCAGUUCGAAGCCCUUUUCGUAUAGGGUUGAGGCACGACGUGAGGUAAAAGUAUAUUAAUUUUGAAAUUUUAUACAAUCUAUUUUUUAUUAUUGAUUAAUAAAAUUUUCUUAAUGUUUUUUUUUUCUUUAGAAGGGUUCUAAGUUCCCACAGAUUGACCUGUUCAAGCAUGUUUACGUUCAUCCCAACAAUGAGAAUAGUGACCAGCUUUAUGUAAGUAUAUGUAAUUGUUAUUUUUCUUAUUUUUAUGAAUCGUUCAAAUAUUAUUUAUAUUUUGUUAUUAAACAUAGUGGAAAAGAGCACUGCUAUUCUCCAAGAAGCAACAUCGCAGCUUCCCCCAAAGACCCCGAUCGAGGACGUCAUUGUACCCAAGGAUGCAAAUGUUCAGAUCGUGACUGAGGUCCUGGAUCAGAAGUUCGGUCGUCAUCAUGGUAAGGUUGUUAGGUGUACGGGGAAGGCGGGGGUUCGUGAAACGGGUGCCUCUUCUUCCAGAUUGUCCACAGGAAAGGUCAAUUCCUUGAAGGAGGAAGUGACAACCCUAAGAGGUCAGGUUACGGCCCAGGGCGACCACAUUAGGGCCCAGGACGAGAGGAUGAAUAUGAUUGUUCAGGCCUUAGCGAUGUCUGGCCUCCAAAUCCCGACGAUGCCAACACCUAAUGUUGCUCCACCUUCGACUUCCCAGCCACUUUACCCAGAUGAUACCGAGUAGCAUGAUGUAUUAAACUUAGAAGACUUGUAGUUUUUUAAUUUCUUGUUCGGACAAACGUACAUUUUCAUAUAUUCUAUAAUUAAUUACUUUUUCUUGGUUUAUUAAUUAUUGUUUAGAAUUUAAUUAUAAUAUUUAUUAAAAAUUAAAUAAAAAAAUAUAAAUGACAAAAAAAAAGGUUUGCGCUACGCAGUGCCUACCUACGUUGCGCAAAGCUACUUUGCGUGACGCAGGACCUACGUCGCGCAAAUUUACUUUGAGCGACGCAGUGCCUACGCGACAUAGGACCGUCGUCGCGCAAAGUCAAAAAUACGUCGCCCAAAAAUUAGCUAAACGAACCUUCAUCGCGCAAGAACCGUCGCGCGAAGGUAGUGAAGGAAGGGUUUGUGCGACACAGUGCCUACCUACGUCGCGCAAAGCUACUUUGCGUGACGCAGGACCUAUGUCGCAUAAAUUUACUUUGAGCAACGCAGUGCCUACCUACGUCGCGUAAAGCUACUUUGAGCGACGCAGGACCUACAUCGCGCAAAGUAGCUUUGCGCGACGUAGGUAGGCACUGCGUCGUACAAACCCUUCCUUCACUGCCUUCGCACGACGGUUCUUGGGCGAUGAAGGUUCGUUUAGCUAAUUUUUGGGCGACAUAUUUUUGACUUUGCGCGACGACGGUCCUAUGUCGCGCAAAGUCUUUUUUGUACUAGUGAUUGCUAUAAAGUCAUGCCCUUCGGCCUAAAAAAUGCAGGAGCGACUUAUCGGAGACUGGUCAAUUCAAUGUUUGCCGAACAGAUUGGGAAGAGGAUGGAAGUUUAUGUUGAUGAUAUGCUAGUCAAGAGCAAACAUGCUAACCAACACAUCACCAACCUAUCUGAAACUUUCACCAUUCUGAAGAGGUAUCGAAUGAGGUUAAACCCCAACAAAUGUGCCUUCGACGUAGGCUCUGGCAAAUUCUUAGGCUUCAUGAUAAGCCAACGAGGUAUUGAGGCUAAUCCCGAGAAGAUCAAAGCAAUCAUCGACAUGAAGGAACCGGUAACCUCAAAAGACAUCCAAAGCCUUACUGGCAAGGUGGCAGCCUUAACUAGGUUCAUCUCUAAGGCCACAGACAGAUGUGCUCCUUUCUUCAAAGCAUUUAAGGGAAGUAAAAAGUACAUUACAUGGACUGAUGAAUGUGCUGAGGUAUUCAAGAACCUCAAAGACUACAUGAGUAAAGCCCCUCUGCUCUCCAAACCUGAGGUUGGUGACACUCUCAUUAUCUAUCUGUCGGUAUCAGCUUCAGUAGUAAGUUCCGUUCUCAUUCGAAAAGAUGGUAAUGUCGAACGGCCUGUCUACUACGCUAGCAAGGCCUUACAAGAUGAGGAGACACGAUACUCCAACAUUGAGAAAUUAGCUCUAACAUUGGUCGUGUCUGCUCGAAAACUUCGCCCUUACUUCCAAGCACACUCCAUCAUCGUGCUUACCAAUCAUCAUCUUCGACAAAUACUCCAAAGUCCUGACACUUCUGGGCGAAUGAUCAAAUGGGCAAUAGCAUUGGGUGAGUUUGACAUCUCCUACUAACCAAAGCCAGCUGAGAAGGGCCAAGCAGUGGCAGACUUCAUCGCCGACUUCACAUAUCCUAUUAACAUUGUUUCUACGCCCAAAGAAGUGGUUUCAUUACCCUCGGAAGCUCAGAAAACAGAACCAACAGCCCCAGCAUGGAGACUAUAUGUUGAUGGCUCAUCCAACCAACAGGGUUGUGAAGCAGGACUAGUCCUUACGACCCCUGACAAAGUGGCAAUGAAGUAUGCUAUUCGUUUCAAAGUUAAGGAGUCGAACAAUGAGGCCGACUAUGAAGCCCUCCUAGCAGGCUUAUGUUUGGCCAAACACCUUGGGGUUAAACGAAUUGAUAUCUUCAGUGACUCUCAAUUGGUGGUUAACCAAGUCACCAACAACUUUGACGCUAAGGAUAGCUCAAUGGCAGCAUAUAUGGCACAAACACAAUUGUUGCUCAAGCACUUCCAGUACCAGAUCACCCAAAUUCCUCGAGCGGCAAAUAGUCAUACAAAUGCUUUGGCUCACCUCGCCUCAGCGGUGGAAGACAAGAUUGGGAGAAGAAUUCAGGUCGAAUUGUUGGCAGCACCAAGCACCAUGGUUGCGGAAGUGUGCAACUUACAACAGGGGGAUAGUUGGAUUACCCCGAUUUAUAGAUUCCUUACUCAUGGCACCCUUCCAAAUGACAAAGUCCAAGCUAAGCAAAUUCGAUACAAGGCUACCUGUUACUUGAUCAUUAAUGAUCAACUUUACAAGUGGGGUUUUAACCUACCAUACCUAAGAUGCCUUACGCCCGUAGAGGCGAAAACUGUCCUUCGGGAAAUACAUGAAGGAGUCUGCAGAGAUCAUGCUAGAUCUCGAUCCCUAGCACACAAGGCUUUUUGCCAAGGAUUACUGGCCGACACUCUACCAAGAUGCCAUCAAAAUAUCCCGCUCAUGUGAUAAGUGUCAACGCAACGUAAUUAUUCCUCACUCCCCUCCCGAGCAGCUCACUCCUAUGAUCAGCCCUUGGCCUUUCGCCCAAUGGGGACUUGAUUUGAUUGGCCCAAUGCCUGCAGGGAAGGGCAAAGUUCGCUAUGCAAUCGUUGCAGUUGACUACUUCACAAAGUGGGCCGAAGUAGAACCCUUAGCAACCAUUACUAAGGCAAAAAUAGAAGACUUCGUAUGAAAGAACAUCCUUUGCAGAUUCGGCAUUCCCGAUGCGAUAGUCAUUGACAACGGGCGACAGUUCAACAACAAUAAGUUCAGGAUGUUCUGCUCUAAGUUCAACAUCAACUUAUGUUUUGCCUCCCCAGCUCAUCCCCAGUCUAAUGGACAAGUUGAAGCUAUCAACAAAAUAAUCAAGCGAACUUUGAAAACCAACUUAGACAAGGCUAAAGGUUGUUGGCCAGAAUUUGUACCCCAAGUUUUUUGGUCAUACCGCACUUCGUAUUAGACAUCAACACGAGAAACCCCAUUCUCACUUGCCUUUGGUACAGAGGCAGUUGUCCCAGUUGAGCUUGAAUAAGCAACAUUUCGAGUCCAGAACUACGUGCAAGGCGAAAAUGACAAACAACUUACCCUCAACUUAGAUCUAGUUGAGGAACACAGAAACCAGGCUCACUUGAGGAAUGUCGCCUACAAGCAGCGCAUCUCCAACUACUAUGACUCAAGGGUCAAACCUCGUUCUUUCAAAGUGGAGGAUUGGGUAUUAAAGAAAAGAUUACUCUGCGACAGAGUCCCGAGUGAAGGAACACUUAGUCCAAACUGGGAUUGACAGUUUAAAGUUGUUGGCAUCAGUCACCCUGGCUCCUACAAGCUUAGAAGCUCCGAUGGCAAGACCAUUGGCCAUCCAUGGAACGCUGAUCACUUGAAGUACUAUUACAAGUAAACUCACAUUGUACAAGUGUUAAGCUUCAACAGUUCAUCAUCCUAUGUAACGAAGACUAUUUGGCAUGAAUUCAAUAAAGAGGUGAUUUAGAUAACUCGGUCCUAAUCCUCUUACAUUCCUAGCAAUGAAACACUCGGGCCCAAAGCUUCAACUCCAAAGCUUCACUUACAAAAGCUUCAACACAAAAGCUUUACCCACAAAAGCUUCAUCAUUUGAGGACAACUACGAAUUCUCAAAAGCUUUACACUAUCUUGAUCAAGAUAGUGUGAAGCAAAAUCAAUUCAUGGUACCCAACAAAAGCUUCAACUCCAAAGCUUCACCUACAAAAACUUCAACAUAAAAGCUUCACCCAUAAAAGCUUCAACACAAAAGCUUCACCCAUAAAAGCUUGACCCACAAAAGCUUGACCCACAAAAGCUUCACCUACAAAAGCUUCACCCACAAAAGUUUGACCCACAAAAGCUUGACCCACAAAAGCUUGACCCAUAAAAGCUUGACCCACAAAAGCUUGACCCACAAAAGCUUGACCUACAAAAGCUUCAACACAAAAGCUUCACCUACAAAAGCUUCACACUAUCUUGAUCAAUUCAUGGUGCCCAACAAAGCUUUAACCUCAAAGCUUCACCUACAAAGCUUCAACACCAAAGCUUCACCUACAAAGCUUAAAAAUAUAUAUAUAUUUUUUCAGAAAUUCAAAAAUUCAAAAAUUCAAAAAAAAAAAUUCAAAAAUUCGAAGAAAAAAAAUUCGCCUAGGUCUCCUCUUCUUUAGGCCUAACAACUUUCAUAACAAAUAUAUAUAUGAAUGAGGAGUUUUGGGCUACCAUUUAAAAAGGAAAUGCCACAUUCGUCAACUCCCUCGACCGGAGACUUGGGGGACACCUACCAUAUGCUACUGCACCUUGAUAUUCAGAAGUCUCACGACCACUCAGUGACUUGGAUUUUUCAAGUCUCCAACCGAGAAGUUUUCCUCACUCGGGAAAUUAAGGAAGUACUACCUCAACAUACAUGUUUCACUCUCAAAGCUUCAACAUACAAGCUUCAACAAAAGAAAAAAUUCAAAGAACUUAGUGAAGAAGGCCUUGGUGUAUUCAACACAAUACGUUGAAAUGAAGCAAAGCUUGUUUAUUGAUAUCUUCGAUAAGUUACAAAUAUGUAUAUAUACAUGAAUCAAAAUAAACAAACAAGAGAGAGCCUUCACAAAGGUUGCUCAUGAGAAGUCUCAGCAGUCGGCAGAGCCCCAGAAAGAGUAGGCAUCAGAAGGUGAUCAUUCGGAGCCUCAGUACUGGUAGAGAACCCUAGAAGGAGGAGGCACCAAAGGUUGAUCAUUCGGAGCUUCAUUACGUGGUACAGCCCCAGAAGACAAAGGCAAUAAAUGCCUUUGGAACAAACCCACAAACCUCUGAUUAUCAAGCAAAAUCUGACCAUCAGAUUCCUGCAGCUGGUCAAGCUUCAUCUUCAUGUUUGUAGUAUAGUCAUGUGCGAGCCUGUGCAACUGUUUAUUCUCAUGCUUGAGCCCUCUGAUCUCCUGUUUGAGACUUAUCACUUCAGCCGCCAAUUAUUCAACUUGGCGGGUUCAAGCAAAUAGGUGUUGGGCCAUAUUAGACACAGAACCUGCACACUGAACACUGAGAGCCAGAGAAUCCUUAACAGUCAACUCAUCAGACCGUUUGGAAAUUAGUCUGUUAUCUUUAAGAGUGAGAAGGUUCUUGGCCACCACCGCAGCGGUUAUAUCAUUCUUCAUCACAGAGUCCCCAACGGUAAGAGGACCAGUAAGGGAUAAGAAGAAUGGGCGCCAUAUGUUGUCUUGAGAAGGCAUGGCUGCCUCUUCACCAAAGUUCAAGUCAAAACGACGGUCGGAAGGGCCAUACAUUCUCAGAAAUGAUGAAGGAGAAAUGAGGUGCAAUAAAUCUCUGAAGUAAGGGGAAAAUUCAUACAAGCAAUAACUCUCUGAAUGUACUUCUUGCACACAAUUGGUGCCCUUAUAAAAGAAAGGGUAACAAGGCCGUUGGUUCAAAAAUCGAAAAGGCAUCACUCUUCGGAUUUCAAAGAGACACCACUCUCCACACGCAACAUCAGCUCCUCGGGUACCACAGAUAACUUUGCCAAAGAUCUCUGACAAAGUUUAGACAUAUAAAUUUUGAAGGUCCAGCUACCCUACUAUUACUCACAAGGGUAAAGGAACAACACCACUACUUGAUAACUGAAGAGUCCCUAUGUGUGUCAACCUCCGUGCUCCGUGGCAAGGUAGAUUGGCAAAAAUGCCCAACCUUUACUCAUAUUCGAGAAAACACUCCCAAUAAGAUUACUUUCUAAAAAAUUGAAGAGGCACCGCUCUCCGAAUCUCAAGAGCCAGACUCCCAACAGGAUUGUUUUCUCAAAAAUCGAAGAGGCACCGUUCUUCGAAUCUCAAGAGCCAGAUCCCCGACAGGAUUGCUUGUUCGAAAACCGAAGAGGCAUCGCUCUCUGAACUUCGAGAGCCAAAUUUCCUUGGAUAAAGCUUGUCUGCAAUCUUCACACGCAACAUCAGCUUUCCAGAUACCACAUACCACUUUUUCAAAGUGCUCUGACAAAGUUAAAACACGUGAAGCUUGCAGCUCCCACUACAUUGCUACGACCAAGAAGGGUAAAGGAAUAGCAUUAUUACUUGCUUAAAAAUCAAAGAGGCACCGCCAUCUGAAUCUCUAGAGCCAGACUUCCAACAAGAUUACUUUCUCAAAAAUUGAAGAGGCACUGCUUUCCGAAUCUCAAGAGCCAGACUCUCAAUAGGAUUGCUUUCUCAAAAAUCGAAGAGACACCGUUCUCCGAAUCUUAAGAGCCAAACUCCCAACAGGAUUACGUGCUUAAAAAUCGAAGAGGCAUCGCCCCUUCGAAUCUCGAGAGCCAGACUUCCAACAGGAUUACUUUCUCAAAAAUUGAAGAGACACUGCUCUCCGAAUCUCGAGAGCCAGACUUCCAACAAGACUGAUUUCUCAAAAAUCGAAGAGGCACAAUUCUCUGAAUCUCGAGAGCCAGAUCCCCGACAGGAUUGCUUGUUCGAAAACCGAAGAGCACCGCUCUCAGAACUUCGAGAGCCAGAUUUCCUUGGAUAAAGCUUAUCUGCAAUCUUCACACGCAACAUCAGCUUUUCGGAUACCAUAGACCACUUUUUCAAAGUGCUCUGACAAAGUUAAAACACGUGAAACUUGCAGCUCCCACUACAUUGCUAUGACCAAGAAAUGUAAAGGAAUAACACUACUACUUAUUGUUAGGGAUACUCCUAUAUAUGUCGACCUCCAUCCUCCAUAGCCAGGCAAACCUGCAAAUAAAAAAAUGCUCAACUUUUCUUCACAUCCGAGAGGGCACUCUCAGCAGAGUCUCUCGAAAUACUUAGCUUUUUUUCCUCCCGAUAAUAUCUCUACAAACAAGCCACGCCAGAGCAAGAGUAUCUCAUAUCACCAGGGUUAAAAGAAAGAGUAUCCCAUAUCAUGUUUUUUCCCUGUCUUUUCCUUUGGCCUUAUUCUUACCUGCAAGACAAGGAGAAAGAGAGCAAUCAGUCAGCACUUAGAAUCAAGCUUCCAGUCAGGAACUGACUGCCUGGAACCCCUUGCUUGAUUACUUACCUGACAUUGCUCUCGAGUAGUCAUCUUCAACAUCUUAUGCUUCCAGAGAAGAUACCACAUCUGCCUGAGGAACAGAUAGGGCAAGUGAGAACGAUACAAGAAAGCAUGCGAAGACAAGCGUAACAGAACACGUGCCGAUAUAUCCACUACUUUGUCAACAGCAAAAGUAUCUCAUAUCAUCAGGGUCGAAUGUACUCUAGAUUUGAUGGACUUGUUUUGACCCUCAAAUUCUUAAGUUGGCCUUAUACUCUUGAAGAAACCAGAAAACCCUCCAGCCCAGUUUAAGAAUAAGCAUGCGGAAAGUUACUUGUUCAAAAGCAAAAGUAUCUCAUAUCAUCUCUUAUCCAUUUGCUUCUCAUUAUCCUUAGUGCUAUUUACGACAUAAGGAGAAAGAAAACAAUCAACCGGAAGUCGAAGUCGAACCUCCGAUCCAGGUUGCUUACUUGGAAGUCUGAUUGCUUACCUUGUCUGUUACCUCCUUCGGCAAAUCUCCUAGCCUGGCGACUUAGGGGACUCAUACUAUAGGGUUUGUAUCGCACUUGACCAAGCCCGAAACUACAAGUAAGCUUCAAGUGAAAUUGAUACAUUACCUUGUGCAUCUUCAUCGGUUAAAGAUACCACCCCUGGAUGGAGGAAAAGUACUUCCAGAGAAGAUGCCACAUCUACGUAUGAGACAGAUAAGGCAAGUGAAAAUGAUACCACACUUCGGUACUUAGAAGUUUCGUGAUUACUCAAUGGCUUGGAUCUUGCAAGUCCCCAACCGAGGAGCUUCCCUCACUCGGGAACUUAGGGGAGCACUGUUUGUACCAUACUUGACCAAUCCUGAAACUACUAAGCACUGGUCAACGUUAUACCGUCAAGGACCUAGAAGAGUUUCCCUCCAACCAGAAGGCCAAUCACAGUGCGACACGUGUUGACAUCAGAAGCCAAUCAUAGCGCAACACGUGUCAACAUCAGAAGCCAAUCACAACACGACACGUGUCAAUGUCAGAAUGAAACUAGAAACUCUCUUCUAUAAAUAGAGAUCAUUCUCUCACAAUAUUUCCUAAUGUCAUUUGUACUAAAUCAUUCACUAGUACUCACUAAAAGAGAGCUUGAACCUAUGUACUUGUGUAAACCCUUCACAAUUAAUGAGAACUCAUCUGCUCCGUGGACGUAGCCAAUCUAGGUGAACCACGUACAUCUUGUGUUUGCUUCUCUGUCUCUAUCCAUUUACAUACUUAUCCACACUAGUGACCAGAGCAAUCUAGCAAAGGUCACAAACUUAACACUUUCUGUUGUACCAAAGUCCUCACCGAUUUUGUGCAUCAAAAUAGAUUAACAUGUAGCAAGAGAAAAUUGUCAUGGAGAAACGGUUGCCCAAACUUAAGGCUGCAAUUUUGAGUGCUCAGAAGUGCUUGGAAGAUUGCAACUAUGUUAGGGGAUUGGUGAGUGACCAUCAUGUGCAGAGUUAGUCUGCAUUUUUUAGUUGUAUAGUAGUUGUAUAGACAGUCCAUUUUUCUACGUUAGCAGUACAAAUUCUUUUUGUUUUCAUCUUGUUUUUCCUCUCUUUAAUUGUCUGAACUGCAAUACGUUUCUGCAACUUGAUGAAUGGUGGGACUGAGAGAUGAAACCAGAAAUUUUACUAAAAGGGGGCACCUUAAAAUUUUUGAGCUCCUUUUUUAGACAAAUAAAGCUAGUUCUUUUACAAAUGCUAAUUUUGUCUUUAAUUGUUGACAAUAUAAUGCUCAUUUGUACUAAUUAAUCAAGAGAGCUGUUAUUCCCACCCCCAAUGUCUUAUUUUUUCACCCACCUUUUUAUGAAUUUUUUAAUUACAAAUUUGUCAAUUUGUAAAAUGACUAACAAGGACCUUAGUUACCCACUUUUGCAUUACUUUUUUUUUAUAAAAAAUAAAAAAGAAAAGUUUGGGCGUGAUAAUUCUCGCACUAUGUUUAGACGAUUUGUCUCCCUUAAACCCUAACUCAUCAUUCCCAUCUCUUUUCAUUCAGAGAAAGCAAAAAGAAUGAACUUAGCAAAUGAUGUUUUUAUGGAAGAAGUAGAUGAUUAUGUUUCCGUCGAAGAGGUAAAAGAUAAUUUUAUGUGGGUCAUCUUGAUUUGUCGACAUCAUAUAAUUGAAGUAUAGCUCUGUGACUUUUUAUCUCUAAUUAUAUAUAUAUAUAUAUAUAUAUAUAUAUAUAUAUAUAUAUAUAUAUAUAUAUAUAUAUAUAUAUUAAGGGUUAUUAGGAAUAAUAGUGGGUGGGAAAAUAACAUUUUAAUUUUUUACCUUUUUAUAGUGGGUGUAAAUAUAACAUGGGUGGGAAAAUAAGACAACGGGGUGGAUCUAGUAGCUCCCUUAAUCAAAUACAUGCAACUCAACAAGGUUUAGACAUUAGUGCGUGAGAAAAAUAUACAAGACAAAGGGACAUUUAAAAACUAAAAGAGGAUUCUCACUAUUUUAAUAUGAUUAAUUGAAUAAUCCGCAAAGCAAAAAAAUUGGGAAUGAUUAAUUGAAUAAUUUGUAAUGAAAAAAAAAAGGAUGGGAGGGGGCAAGUGCCCCCAAUAGGCCUUACCUCCCUCCGUCCAUGGUAGUGGGACUCCCACCCACCAUAACCGUUGCCCAUCCCUAGGUAGGAGCAACUAGCAGCAACUGUUGUUGACUGGGUCUGAGUCGAUGGAUUAAAUGUUGCUGCAUGGUAUAAUCAUGUGAAGCAACUCCUUGAAUUUUAUGAUCAGGAGCACUUGUGAAUAUUAUUUGAGUACUCAGCAAACAAUAUUUUAUGGGGAUCUAAUUAGUCUUCCUGUUGGCAGUCCCACAUCGGUGGGGGAAGUCAACAAUGGUGAUUUUAAAUAUGAGUACCCUACUUUAAUUAAUAAUGAUGUCUUUUAUGGUAAAACCCCACACUUGACAGAUUAGGCAGGUGGUAAAGUUGUCGAUCUAAAAAUUUCAACAUGGUAUCAAAAACCCAUGAUUAAGGGCAUGUGCAAGCCAAAAGCUUGUCACCAGGAAGUGUGGGAUUGGAAACAAGCUUGGACUCUUAACAUAGAGCCAGUCUCUGAGUUCUUAAGAGGCACUUCUUGAACAGAUUGAAACAAGUCUGGACUCCAUUGGAGCUAACCCUUAAGUUUCAAUUGAUGAUCCUCUUCUUGAAAAGAGUGAAAACAAGUCUGGACUUCAUUGGAGCCAACCUCUAAGUUUCAAUUGACGAUGUGUGGAUCUCUAUAUGUGAACCACUAAAUGGGGUUACAAGUGAGGGGGCAUGUUGGUAGUCCCACAUUGGUGGGGGAAGUCAACAAGGAUGGCUUUAAAUAUGAUUACCCUACUCUAACUAAUACCGAGGUCUUUUGUGAUAAAACUCCACACCUGACGGAUUGGGCAAGUGGUAAAGUUGGGGAUAGUAUCGGUAUCAUUUUCUUGAAAAGAUUGAAAACAAGUUUGGACUUUAUUGGAGCCAACCUCUAAGUUUAAAUUGAUGAUGUGUGGAUCUCCACGUGUGAACCACUAAAUGGGGUUACACGUGAGGGGGCGUGUUGGCAAUCCCACAUCAGUGGGGGAAGUCAACAAGGGUGGCUUUAAAUAUGAUUACCCUACUCUAACUAAUAUUGAGGCCUUUUGUGGUAAAACUCCACACCUGACGAAUUGGGCAGGUGGUAAAGUUGAGGACAGUAUUGGUGUCGUUAGGGGGCUCCUCGAGCUCGUUGAUCUAAAAAAUUCCAACACUUCCUGGAUCAUAUUUGCCACUUCUACAAAGCCCUUGUUUCAUUCAUUCUCGCAUCGCUAAAAAAACCUACAAAGGCUUAGUAGAAACUCAAGCUCAAAUUUAUGCUUGAAAGGUAAAUUUAUUAUCUCUUAUUGGUCGGGCCACUUUUGUUCAGUCUGUCACCUCCGUUGUCCAGUAUAUGCUUUGCAGACAAUAUUACCAAUUACCAUUACAGAUAACCUUGAGUGUCAAAGAUUUUUCUAAGGCAAGAGAAGUUUGGCAAAAGUUGGAAAGUAUAAACAAUAGUCAGACCACAUUGAUUUUCAUGAUUGGCUUCAUUUUAAUCUCACCACUAAUCACUCAUAUUGGGGGGGGGGGGGGGGGGUUUAGAGUAGAUGUUAGUAUUUUCCAUUGCUUGUUGGUUUAUUUGGUAUUGGCGAAAUAAAUUUGUUUUCGAGCAGGAUUUUGCAAUGUUUGAUGAGCUUACAGUCGCUAUUUGUGCAUAUUUUCAUGAAUGGUUAGCAUUCUAAUACUCACAAGAUUGAUAAACGCCGUAAGAUUGAAUCUUUGCUCCACUGGAAAGCUCUUCAUUCAAAAUUGAUUUAAACUUAAUGUUGAUAGUUUUAAGAAGGAAAAUAAUAAUCCUUACAUAAAUAACUGGCAGCCGUGCCAGAGGCAAUACGUGUAUGGAAUCAUAUACUGAGGAUAGGGUAUUUGGAAAACAGUCCAUUUCUAUUGAGCCACAACGAAGGGAGUGCAGAAAUUCACAGUUUCGUUUUUGGAUUUAACAGAGAGAUAAUGGAAAUUUGGUUUUUGAGCUUAAACCUAACGAACUUCACCAAAAGGGUUUAAAACCGAAUUUUUUUUACCACAUGGCUAUCUUCAGAAUACCCUAUCAUCACGAGGACUAUUUAUACGUGAACUUUCUUCAUUGAACGUGAAUAUCACAUGCUAAAACUUCUCUUCAUUGAACUUUCUUAAAAGCAAAAAAUACUAAUCGACUCAACACCUACUUGUGCAGAUAUUGGCUAAACCAAACAUUAGAUGUGAAAAAUUAGCACUUUGCCAAAUAAUAUUCCGAGUGAGCAAAAGAGAGAAAAAUAUAACAAUGGCACACAGACAAAAUAUAAAAGUUGAGGAGCCGGGUGAUAUAAUAUUAGACAUUGCAAUUGUAGGCUCGGACGACUUAAGGAGAAGAAGGUUGCCUGCACCACUAUUAGGAACAUUACAAAUCAACAUUUCAGAGGUAACAUGCAUGGUCUUCUCUUCUGCCAUGAAAAAUUCAUGCCUUCAUAUAAUUAAUUAAUUAAUUAACUAGUUAUUAGUGUUAAUUAUCUAGAGAGCACUCUCUAACAUUUCCAUCCUCCAUCGUUUUCUUCUUCUUCAGAACAAAGUUUCAAUCAAUUUUUUUUUUUAAAAUACCUUUUACUUUAACAAUAUUAGCGAUUAGUUUUAGGUUGCCUUUUAAUUAGCUCGUGUGCUUCUGUUGCAGGGCGUGUUCGAGGAAAAAGGGAGCAUACUUGAACCAGCAGAGGCUGUGGUAGCAUCUAUGAAAAAACUUUAUGAACUCUUUGUAGCGAAACGACGUAGUUUGACUCGUUUCAUUUUUAAAUUUUUGUUUCCUCGGGUGCAAAGCAAUGUUGUUUGGCUUGGGUUAAAAAAAAAUAAAAAAAUAUAAAAAUAUAAAAAAAUAAAAAAACUAAAACGGAGCAACGCCCUGUUAGCAGUCCAGAAAAGCAAUGACUUUAAAUAGGAAUACUCCACUGUAACUAAUACCAAUAUCUUUUGUGGUAAAUACCAAUAUCUUUUGUGGUAAAACCUGACGGAUUGGGCAGAUAGUAAAGUUGAGGACAGUAUCAGUGUCGUUAAAGUUGCCCCCCCCAAAGCCCAUCAAUCUAAAAAAUUUCAGCAUGGUAUCAGAGCCCACAGUUACGGGCCUAUGCAAACCAAAGGCUUGUCACCUGGAAGUGUGGGCUUGGAAACAAGCUUGAACUCAACAUAGAGCCAGCCUCUGAGUUCUUAAGAGUCACUUCUUGAAAAAACAAGUUUGGACUCUAUUGGAGCCGAUCUUUGAUUUUCAAUUUCUGAUGUGUGGAUCUUCACGUGUGAACCACUAAAUGGGAUUACACAUGAGGGGGCGUGUUAGCAAUCCCACAUCAGUGGGGGUAAAGAAAAGCAAUAACUUUAAAUAGAAUUAUACCCCACUCUAACUAAUACAGAGGCCUUUUGUAAUAAAACCUCAUACCUCACAAAUUAGGCAAGUGCUAAAGUUGAAGAUAGUAUCGGUGUCGUUAGAGCGCCCCCCUCGGACCUGUCGAUAUAAAAUAAUUUCAACACGCCCCACUAUAGAAAACCAAAAUGCAGCACCAGAGCAAAGGGGUGAAAACCUGGAUUUUGGGAACAAACUUCAGCGACUAGAGGUGCGAGCACACCUCUUUGCGUCUUUGUAGCUUCGCCAAUGCACGUCUCGAUAUUAUUUAUGAGGAGUUCUUGAUAAUUACUUUAAAGUGUUAAUAACAGUCUCUUUCUUAUUCUGUUAGGUCCAGUACACCCUACAAUCUUAAAAUAUGCAUAAAUUCACUCAUAGAAUGAGAAAAUGCCUUGUGUCAUUUUCAAGUUUGGAAAAGGAUCCUCCCCGGAUCCUUUUCCUUGGGAUCUUAAGAAUCCCUUGAUCAUGAUCAUGAAUCGUACAUUAUACGGUCAGUUUUUGUUUAGUACUAUUUAUAUUUAAUUUUAAAUUUUAAAUUUUGAAAUGAUUUCUAACUACACGAUAUACGAUGAACGGUCACGAGAUCCCUAGAAUCCCCAGGAAAAGGAUCCGGUGAGAACCUUUUCCGUCAAGUUUGACACCAUUUGAAAAUUGGUGAGACAUGAAAAAGUUCUUGAUCCUCACUCCCCCCCACAAGGCAAGCUUAAACUCGCCCGUGAUAGAAUUUGUACCCGCGCGUUGCUGCAGGGUUGAAAAUUAUAUGAAAGAUAUUGGAAAAGGUUACCACUUCAAUGCUUAUAUACAUCGAACUUAAUCUUAGAUAUAUCCAUAGAAAAUUGGAUGAGAACGACGACCACACAACGGCCUAGGAUCUUGCACAAAGAGAAUAAAAGUAAAAAAAAAAAAGUCUAAAGAGAGUGAAAAAAAACAUUAUAUUUCAUUGCAUUCUAUUACUCUAAUUAUACACUUCACAACGGCCUAAGGAAAGUGGUUUCUUAUUGAUUAAAUGAAGCCUCACUGACUCACACAUACAGACUGAUCUAAACUAUUCAAGAAUGUGCAUCUUCUAGAGCUCACUUGCCAUUGAAGCCUCAUAGUCCUAACCGAGUUAAACCAAUUAAUAAAGCUCAUUUCGAUAAAACUUGCACACAGAAUGAGAAGCCAGUCUCAAGUACAAAUGCUUACUUGAGUAAUAUGAAAAGCCUGCUCAAGACGCUGAAUUUGAAUCCAUUGUUCACCAAAAAAUGUUGUUCAUCUGCAAGCAAAGACAAAGAAGCCAAUUGCAAAAUGACACCAUACUCAUAGUCUCAUAGACCGAAGAUUGUAGGAAGCAUAUCAGCAUAUAGUAUACGACCUUUUGAGCAUGCGAGGCAACUGUUCCAAGUCGAUCCUUAGCAUCCCGUGCUUUCGACGAUCAAAGUUGAACCUUCUAGACGCCUCCCAUAAAAUCCAUACCUAAAAAGCAAUUCCAAAACUUAUUUCUCAAAGUCCAACACUGGAUUGAAAAAUUGCAAAAACAAACUGGAAAAUUCGAAAGAAUUUAUAAGGCGGUGGGAUGUUGUACAGGGUUGGUACCUGGAGCUUGAGAAAUCAAAGAGCUUGCCAGUUUGGGAAAAGAUGAUAACAACAGCUUCAGAUUCACACAGAAUGGACAGCUCUCCAGCAUUCUUCAAAUCCACUCUUCUCCUCUUUGAGAAGGUCACCUGCCUUGCCGGCAAGUAAUCGAUCUUCCUGAUCUUGAUCUUCUCCCUCAUCAUUUUCUCCAAUUCUUCCUACCCCUUUCAGAAACAAUAAUUCAAGUAAAAUAAAAUAAACCAACUACUUCGAAUUUCCACAUAUAUAUAAAUGUCCACAAACUCAAAAACUACGUUAUAUUUUCUGGGUUUCUGAUAAUUUUAAGGAUUAUUGACCACAAAACCUAGCAUUUCAAAUCUAAAUAAGUAAAACAAAACCCAGAUCAACCCAUCAACCACAAUCAACUGUCCAAUAUUUCGUAUUUACCAAACUUGAUUAACACCCAAAAAAAAAAAGAAGCAAAACUCCCUAAUUUUACAAAAUACAAUCAAAUCAAUAAAACCCAGAUGAUUUCAUGAAGCAAAAAACAAAUUCAAUCAGAGGCAGAACCAUAUAAACCCAGAAAGAAAUUCAAACAUUCCAAAUUUCUGAAGCAACAUAUGACCAUAGAGAUUGAGCGGAGAAGACCAAACAAAACUCUAAAAUCUUGAAAUCACUCACCUUAAAUAGAUAGGGAUUUGAAGGCUGCAAACAAAAGCCCCAAAUCCGAAGAACCAUGAUUUCCUAAAGAAAAAAAUAAAACAAAAGUAAACACCAUGAUGGGGAAUCCAAAGCUAUAAACAAAAUCCCCAAACUUAUACCGGGUCACCACGCCCUUGUCUAUGGAAUCCGACGGAACCCACGCUGGUGAACCCCUUUGAUUUUCUUAUGCUAAGCAGGAGAAAUGGAGGGUGAAUCGGUGCUGUAGCUGGUUGCGAGAUAGAAACAGAGAAGUCGAUGGAAAAUAAGGAAAAGAAAAGUGCCGAGGAAAAGAAGAGCAAGGAAGCAGGGGGAACACCCCAGCUCUUUCAGAGCACUUUCAGCUUUGGCUGGAGCUCGGGGGACAAGCCAGCAAAUAGGGCCUGAGAGCCCGGCUUAUUGACUCCAGCUUGUGGGAGCCCGAGGGACAAGCAGGCCCGAGCACCAGGCCUGUCACGAAUUGCCAACUCGUUAGCCCAAAGGCUAUUUGACGCAAGGCUAACAUCAGCUCCUUUUUUAUUUUUUUCUGUCAGACGCGUGCACUGCACCCGUGCUUUGGGCGCGUCACCCGAAAUGUUUUCAGCGAAUGGGGCAUGCGGCGCAGUUUCAAAUUAUUACCGUUGGGAAACCACGUGGCUUCCCAUGGUCCGUUGGAUCUCAACAGCAAGAAAAUGUGGACCGUCAAAUUUGCAACGGUAAAAAAAAUAAAUAAAUCUUAUUUAAUAUCAACCGUUUGAUCUGGGAUCAACAAUUUAUAUUAUUUUCCUUUAUAAAUAAAAAAAAGAAAAAGUAGUUUUAAAAUUCAGAAAUGUUACCAUUGUGCCAUGUGGCACAAUCUGGAGUGUUGGAAUUCAAUUUUUUUUAAAUCCAAAGGCAGAGAUUAAUUAGUUGAAAAAAAAAUUUAAAAAUAAAUAAAAAUCCGAAAAAAAAAUUUUGAAAUUUUUUAAAAAAAUUUGUUUUUACUUUUCUAUAUAUACCUUCUCAUUAUCAUCUACCUUACACCACAAAUUUAUAUUUUCUCAACUAUUUUCAACCACAUUCUUAUCUUUCUCUCAAAGUUUCAGUCCAAAUUUUUUUAACAAAUGACUACUAAUGCAGGUACGAAUAUGACGCUUCUUGAAGAUGUUGCGUUGUGUACUAGCUGAGAUGCAGUUGCGAAAAAUGUGGAGUCUUAUUCAUACCAAUUAUCUUGAGAAAAUGGGUGGGAAAAGAACCAAAGAAUCAAUGACUCGACAGGGCCUGCAAAUCUAACCCACAACUUGGAUGACUCGACGGGAAUGUGAGGCUCUGCCCAUUCUUGCUUCGUCAUCUUUCCUUCUACACUCUUCAUCCUCUUCCCUCUCAUUUUGGGCCACCUGGAGAUUGAACAUUCCUUCUUAUUGGUUAAACAAUUAUUCCUCUUGCUGAUCGAUUUCCCACAUCAUCCUUGAAGAAGAAGACAUUGUAAAAAUGAAGCAGAAACUAUGAAUAAUGAUAGAGAUCUUGAGAAAAUUGGUGUGAGAUUUGUGAGGAUGGAUGGUGGAUUAUAUAGAGGAUUCAGAAAGGAUUAGGUUGUAGAUAAUGUCACGUGGCAUGCCUUCAUUCGUUAAAAAUCUAAUGGAAAUCUAUCCUCAAAGAUUAUGACACGUGGCGCGACGUGAUUGGUUAAUAAUCUUAUCGGAAAUCCAUCACCAAUAAUUGUAUUUUCGGAUAAUGACACGUGGCGCAACGAGUAUGAUUAAAAAUCUUAUCGGAAAUCUAUCACCAAUAAUUGUCUUUUCGGAUUUUAUGACAUGUGGCUCAACGAGAACGAUUAAAAAUCAUAUCCGAAAUUACAAAUAAAAUUAUUUUGUAUUAUUUUAUAACUUUUCGGAUAAUAACACGUGGCGCAAAGAGAAUGAUUAAAAAUCUUAUCGAAAAUCCAUCACCAAUAAUUGUCUUUUCAGAUUUUAUGACACAUGGCGCAAGGAGAACGAUUAAAGAUCUUAUCCGAAAUUACAAAUAAAAUUAUUUUGUAUUAUUUUAUAACUUUUCGGAUAAUGACACGUGGCGCAAUGAGAACGGUUAAAAUUCUUAUCCGAAAUUACAAAUAAAAUUAUUUUGUAUUAUUUUAUAAAUAAAUAAAAUACUAAUAUUUUAUUGCCUAUUGCUAGGGCUAUUGAAGUGCAACGGUGGAAAUGCAAAAGGCGAUUACUGUUCAAUGGGUGGAUAGCAUAGUGUAUUGCCUGGGGGGUGUUCCCACGCUGGAACUGCUCUCAGCCUGCUUCCAUUUCACUGAUGACAAACACGUGUAAAACAUGGCGCAACUAAAAUCAAAUAGACCAAGCAGCGGCAAAUCCGCCAUUUCACUGUUAGUGAACAAUGCUCUCUCUCACAUGAUGAACGGUAUUUUUGUUGCUGAGUUUAGUAUAUAUAAAUAAAUGUCUUUUGUGAAUGGCAGGGAAUUGGACAAAACCAUCGCUUCUUCUUUUUAAAAGCAUCCUUUUUUUAAUGGGAAUUUUAACAAAAAGCUUUCAGUAUUGUUCAAUUUAACGAAAAACCACAUUUUUACAUUAAAAAGUCAAUCCUGGUACUAUUCACUUUACCCUUUAUUUUGUUUUUAUUGUUAAAACUCAAAAUUUUCAAGCCCUUUUUAUUUGUUUUUCCUUUUUUUUUUUUUUUUUUUGUUAAGUAAAAGCAUCCCCUUUUUUAACUUCAAUGUGCAUUCUCACUUCCUUCCUGACUAUUUCGAACACAAAACAUCAAUACAAGUAAACAGUGAGUCAACACUCUUAGUAUAUUAGUAAAAUGAAAAAAACUUCUUUCUUUUAUUCAAUAAUUAUUAUGAGUUGUGUAUAUUGAUCAACCUGUAAGUAGAUACAAACACUAAUAAUGCAGUUAGUUAGAAAAAAAAAAAUCAUUUUGUUUUCUUUCAAGUUUCUCAACUAACCGGGACCCAAUAUUCCC
rnacentral:lncRNA from 1 species